CCCGUGUAAAUAGUUUUAUUUUCUUUUCUUUCCUUUGGGGGUCGAGAAGACCAUAUUGAAAAUGCUUAGUGGCUCUCAUAUGCAUGAUUGUUUAUUUAACUUAGAGCCCAUAUUACGUUGUCUUCUCUUUUUAGUUGAAUGCUUGCAGAUUCUAACUUAGUCCAAUGCACAUGCACUCUUAUUAUUAUACACAUCGUUCGGUCGUGCAAGUGAAAGGCAAUAAUGACGAUAUAUGAUGGACCUAUUGAGAUGAGAAAAGCUGGUAUGAACUCGACCUCUCUUGUUUUUAUAAAUAUGAUGGGUUCAUCGUUUCUGAUUCAGCUUAUUAUGAGGUAAACAUAUUUGCAAUGACAUUUAGAGAUUAUAGUUGCUUGUGCCAUGCUUGAUUAGCUAUGAGUUCUAAUGGUUUACCUUGCGUGCCAACAUGCUAUUAGAAUAAUUAUGAUGGGAUGGUAUCCUCCUUUGAAUAAAUUGAGUGACUCGACUUUUCACAUGUUCACGCAUGUAGUUGAAACAAAUCAACAUAACCGUCAUGAUAUUUAUGUUCAUGGUAGAUUAUAGCCUACUCAUGCUUGUACUCGGUGUAAAUUAAUUUUAAUGCAUGUUUAUGACUAUUGUCGCUCUCUUAGUUGGUCGCUUCCCAGUCUUUUGCUAGCCUUCACUUGUACUAAGCGGGAAUAUUGCUUGUGCAUCCAAACUCCUUAAACUGCAAAGUUGUUCCAUAUGAGUCCACUACACCUUCCUAUAUGCGGUAUUUAGCUGCCGUUCCAAGUAAAUUUGUAUGUGCCAAACUCCAAACCUUCAAAUGAAAUUCUGUUUUGUAUGCUCGAGCAGCUCAUGUUUCAACUAGGGCUGCCUAUAUCUUCCAUGCUAGGUGGGUUAUUCUCAAGAGGAGUGGACUGCGAUCCUCAUUCACGAGAAAGGGCCGGUAACCGGGAUGCCCAGUCCCAUGAUCCAAAAAGAUCAAAGCAAAUCAAAAUAAUUAAACAAAGCUCCCCCAGGGCUGUUGUUAGUUGGAGGCACUCGUUAUUUCGAGCAAGCCAUGGAUUGAUGCUUGUUGGUGGUUGGGGGAGUAUAAACCUUUACCAUUCUGUUUGGGAACUGCCUAUAAUGCAUGUAGUAUGGAAGAUACAGCCAUCUCAUAGUCAUUGCGUUGACAGCAAAAAUAUGCCGCUCAAAAUAUUAUUCAAUCUCUAUUUUAAAAUCGAGCUCUAGCACCUCUACAAAUCCCUGCUUCCCUCUGCGAAGGGCCUAUCUAUUUACUUUUAUGUUGAGUCAUCACCCUUCUUAUUAAAAAGCACCCGAUGGAGAGCACACUGUCAUUUGCAUUCAUUACUAUUGAUUUAUAUUGGGUAUGACUUGACUGGAUCUCUUUUACCCUGAAUUACAAUGUUUAGUCAGUCCUUGAUCUUUAAAGGUGCUCUGCAUUUAUGUUUUGCGGUCUCAGAAAGGCUAGCGAGAUACCAUUUUGUUAUAUCAUGUUAUGAUUGUUUUGAGAAAGUGUUGUCAUCCGAGUUUUAUUAUUAUGGCUUUCUAGCUGAUUGUGCUAUUGAUAUGAGUAAUUGUGAGACCUAAGUGUUAUUGUGAGUAUGGUUAGUUCAUAAUAUUUGCUAAAACCUGAAUGAUGGCUUUGCAUGUUUACGACAACAAGAUCAAACAGAGUUUGUAAAAGUUUUUCUUUAUCACUUUCAGUUUAUCAACUGAAUUGCUUGAGGACAAGCAAAGGUUUAAGCAUGGGGGAGUUGAUACGUCUCCAACGUAGUUACUUUUACAAACACUUUUGCCCUUGUUUUGGACUCUAACUUGCAUGAUUUGAAUGAAACUAACCCGGACUGACGCUAUUUUCAGCGGAACAGCCAUGAUGUUGUUUUAUGUGUAGAAAAGAAAAGUUCUUGGAAUGUCCUGAAAAUCCACGGAGGCACUUUUUGGAAAAUAUAAAAAAUACUGGCAAAAGAAUCAAGACUAGGGGCCCACACCCUGUCCAUGAGGGUGGGGGGGGGGGGCGCCCCCUCCCCCUGGGCACGCCCCCUGUCUCAUGGGCCCCUGGACCUCCACCGGCCUCAACUCCAACUCCAUAUAUUCACGUUCGGGGAGAAAAAAUUCAGAGAGAAAGUUCAUCGCGUUUUACGAUACGGAGCCAUCGCCAAGCCCUAAUCUCUCUCGGGAAGGCUGAUCUGGAGUCCGCUCGGGGCUCCGGAGAGGGGUAUUCGUCGCCGUCGUCAUCAUCAACCAUCCUCCAUCACCAAUUUCAUGAUGCUCACCAUUGUGCGUAAGUAAUUCCAUCAUAGGCUUGCUGGACGGUGAUGGGUUGGAUGAGAUUUACCAUGAAAUCAAGUUAGUUUUGUUAGGGUUUGAUCCCUAGUAUCCACUAUGUUCUGAGAUUGAUGUUGCUAUGACUUUGCUAUGCUUAAUGCUUGUCACUAGGGCCCGAGUGCCAUGAUUUCAGAUCUGAACCUAUUAUGUUUUCAGGAAUAUAUGUGUGUUCUUGAUCCUAUCUUGCAAGUCUAUAGUCACCUAUUAUGUGUUAUGAUCCAACAAUGCCAAAGUGAUAAUAAUCGGGAUACUUCUCGAUGAUGACCGUAGUUUGAGGAGUUCAUGUAUUCACUAUGUGAUAAUGCUUUGUUCCGGCUUUCUAUUAAAAGGAGGCCCUAAUAUCCCUUAGUUUCCACUAGGACCCCGCUGCCACGGGAGGGUAGGACAAAAGAUAUCAUGCAAGUUCUUUUCCAUAAGCAUGUAUGACUAUUUACGGAAUACAUGCCUACAUUACAUUGAUGAACUGGAGCUAGUUCUGUGUCACCCUAUGUUAUAGCUAUUACAUGAGGAAUCGCAUCCGGCAUAAUUAUCCAUCACUGAUCCAUUGCCUACGAGCUUUUCACAUAUUGUUCUUCACUUAUUUACUUUUCCGUUGCUAUUGUUACAAUCACUACAAAACCCAAAAACAUUAGUUUUGCUACCGUUACCUUUAUUAUCAUACCAGUUUGCUACUAAAUACUUUGCUGCAGAUACUAAGUUAUCCAGGUGUGGUUGAAUUGACGACUCAACUGCUAGUACUCAAUAAUAUUCUUUGGCUCCCCUUGUGUCGAAUCAAUAAAUUUGGGUUGAAUACUUUACCCUCGAAAGUUUUUGUGAUCCCCUACACUUGUGGGUUAUCACCUGUGUGAAUCGAGUAAGGUGAAUCAUGAACCUCCUAAAGAAUUAACUUCCUGAUCUUAGGGUCAUUAGGCACAUAUAUACGAUCCUCAAACCAUAAAGUGCCGUGCUCAUCCUCACGAAAUCCUUUAGGCUUUCCUUUACUCAUCCUUUCUUUUAUCUCAGCAAUAUCCUUGUCCGUCUUCUGGGCUUCUCUGAUAUUACCCAACAAAGUAGACUGAAUUUCCAAUGUUGCAACAUAACCUCUCGGAACUAUCUCCAAGCACAGCUCUUGAAGGUCAUCUGCUAACUCCUUAGGCAAUCCUCCGGUUAUGAGCGUGUUAACAUAACUCUUGCGGCUCAACGCAUCUGCUAUCACAUUGGCCUUUCCUGAAUGAUAAUGCAAUCUCAUGUCAUAGUCCUUUAUGAGCUCCAACCAUCUCCUUUGCCUGAGGUUCAACUCCUUCUGCGUGAAGAUUUAUUUCAAACUCUUGUGAUCCGUGUAAACAUCACAAUGGUUUCCGAUGAGAAAGUAUCUCCAUGUCUUGAGCGCAUGCACUACAGCUGCUAAUUCCAAAUCAUGCGUAGCAUAAUUCAACUCAUGAGGUCGAAGCUAUCGUGAGGCAUAUGAAACAACUCUUCCAUCCUGCAUAAGCACACCUCCAAGUCCUCGACGUGAAGUGUCGCAAUACACUUGGAAAUCCUUGCGUUGGUCUGGGAGAAUCAGUACUGGGGCUGUAACCAAACGCUUCUUCAAUUCCUGAAAACUGGCCUCACAAUCCCAGUCCAUUUAAACUUGGUGUCCUUCUUCAAUAACUCCGUCAUGGGCUUUGCAAUCUUGGAAAAAUUCUCAAUAAAUCUCCGGUAAUAACCUGCGAGUCCAAGAAAACUUCUGAUCUCUCCCACUGAGGUGGGUACCAAUUAUUUAGUGACAGAAGCAACCUUGGUAGGGUCUACUGCUAUUCCUUCUCCAGAUAUAACAUGUCCGAGAAAUCCAACUUCCUUCAACCAAAACUCACAUUUGCUGAACUUAGCAUACAACUGAUGUUCCCUGAGCUUUUCGAGAACCAAAUGCAAAUGUUCCUUAUGCUCCUCUUCAUUCUUCGAGUAGACCAAAAUGUCAUCAAUGAACACCACGAUGAACUUAUCCAAAAACUCAAUGGACACCUUGUUUAUCAUACUCAUGAAAUAGGCAGGGGCAUUAGUUAAACCAAAUGACAUAACUGUAUACCCAUGUAGCCCAUACCUCGUAGUAAAAGUUGUCUUAGGUAUAUCUUGCUCUCGGAUCUUCAACUGGUGAUAACCUGAUCGAAGAUUGAUCUUGGAGAAAACUUUAGCUCCUUGCAACUGGUCAAACAAAUCAUUUUUCAACGGCAGAGGGCAUUUGUUCUUGAUCGUCACCUCAUUCAGCGCACGUUAAUCAACAACCAUCCUCAAAGAUCCAUCCUUCUUCUCCACUAGAAGCAUUGGGGCUCCCCAAGGUGAUGAGCUUGUUCGAAUAUAACCUUUCUCGAGUAACUCCUUUAUUUGUUUCUUAAUUUCCUCCAGAUCCUUUGCAGGCAUCCGAUACAGUCUCUUUGAUAUUGGUCCGAUGCCGGGCAAUAACUCAACCAAAAAUUCGAUGUCUCGAUCUGGUGGCAUGCCUGGUAACUCUUCCGAAAAUACAUCGGGAUAAUCCUUCACCAAUGGUACUUCCUCCUGAACAACUCCUGAUAAGGAAUUCACAUGAGCCCUCCUCGGCGCAUGCCUAGAUACAUACUUGAUCCUCUUCCCUUUUGGGGUGGUGAGAAGAAUUGAUUUAGUGGCGCAAUCGAUGUUUCCCACAAACUUGGAUAGCCAAUCCAUGCUUAGUAUCACAUCCAAUCCUUGUGACUCCAGGAUGAUCAGGACGGUGGGGAAAACAUGUCUACCUAUGGUUACUGGCAACUAAUAGCAUCCCCUACUAGCCAUAUACUCCGCUCGUGGGGAACUUACUAACAUAGGUGACUUAAGGGCUACUGUUGGCAACUUAUACUUAUCCACCAAUCCCCUUGAUAUGAAUGAAUGAGAUGCACUAGUAUCAAAAAGAACAAGUGAUGUAAAUGCAUUAAUCAAAAACUUACCGACAACUACGUCGGGUUGAUCCUCAAUUUCCUCCACACCGACGUCAUUCACCUGACCUUUUGUCGGGGGUUGGGUGCGACAUAUGCCAAAGGAUGGCUUAUCAUGGUGGGAGCGAGUAGAACGUCGUCGGUGCCUGGAAGCGGGAUAAGGCGUAGACACGUAUGCCGACGAACUUUACCCAGGUUGGGGGCUCUCUGUGGAGAUAAUGCCCCUACUCCUGCUCUGCGGGGUCUCUGCAUGAUCACUAACGCACUAGUGAUACAAGGUGCUCCUUGAGCUGUGUUUAGAGGUAGGAGAAGGCCAUGCUAGCUCUUCCCUGCCCUAGGUAACUGGCUAGUUCUAUCAGAGUUGGAACCCUUUGCAUGGGUGGCCUGGGGGGCUUAUAUAGGCUUGCCCCCCAGGGGUACAAUGGUAAUCGGGCCGACUGGUGGGGCCUGUCUAUCAGCGUCUCCAGCCUCCGGCUUUUCUGCCGACUACUGGGGCCUGCCGCUUGGUGGGCCCUGCCAGCUGGUUGGUGGCUGCUUACUAUAGCCAUGCUGUCUAUGACGAGGGCUUGGUCAUCUUAUCGUGGCUACAGUCCCACCGGCUGGCGGGAGGUUACUGUAGCCACACCUGGUCUCAUGAGGUUAAUGGCACGCUUCCUCGGGGCAUGGGACGGCCGCCUGCUGGAGGCCGGCCCAUCUCAAGUCCGGCUGAUUGGGCGUCUGCUGUCUUUGGCGGUGUCACUGCCUGGUAGGGCAUGUGGCUGGCAGGCCGUACUGAUAGGCCGUCGUGGGGAACAGGGUUCCGCCUGCUUGGAGCGACAUCAGGGGAGACAUGGCACAGUGCUCCGCCGUGUGGAGAUCUCCGCUCGUAUGGUGCACUGUAGCCAUACCUGACCCGUACGUCGGGGGCGACAUACUUCACUGUUGCCAUGCUCUAGCUUGUACUCUUGAUGGGGGCUCGUCUGCACCGAGGCCGCGAGGUGGCUGCCUGCCUGAUGCCGCCCUCUCUGGAGGCCGGCCGGCUGGGGCCAGCCACUCGUAGUGCCGUAGGCUUGGGUUGGCCGCCCUUUGGUAGCCGGCCGUUGAGACAGCCGGCCUCCAGAGGGCGGAGCUUCAGCUUGGGGUCUAGCUAGGCGAGGCUGGCCCAAAGUCUUGAUAAAUUCAGGGACUCAGGUGAGCCUACCCGUGGCCCAUUACUCCGAUAGUAGUCCUCGAAGCCGGUGAGGCAUUGUGGUCGAGGGGCCACGAAGUCUCAGCGGCUUCCCCCCUCACCGGGCUCCCGGAAAACGUCGAUCUGUCUUGUGGCUAGCCGACUGCUGAGGCCGGCCUCACCCAGGCGGAGCUAUGUGGUCAAUUUUGAACUUCGAGGCGGGAAACAGGUAGCGUGCCUGCUAAGCUUCCCGGGCCACCGCCCGCCACAGACGUGCCAUGCGGAGCAUGCCAGCCCGGCCAGCCUGCCGCCCCACGCCCCUGAUGGGACGUGACCAUGGGCCAGGCCCGCCACUACCGCGCCUCGGCAACCGGGCGGAUCUGCUGUGCCGAGGGGGCGGUUGCCAUUCCCACGACCACUUGCGGCGUGGUGAAUGUGUGCGAUAAAUGGGGGUCGUGGGGUCGUGGGCGCAGUUAAUCCCACGACCCACGACCAGCCCCCUCGGCUUCGUAGACCAAGGGCUAUAAGUAGGGCGAUGGGAGGGGUGAAGCAAAGCUUGUGCACCCCCUCCCACUCUUCUUCUUCCUCUGCUCUCUCCUCCACUGCCGUUGCUGUUGCUCAGCACCGCCGUGGAGCUGCCGCUGUCAUUCAUCGCCGACGCACUUCUCCUCCUCACGCCGCCAGCCGGAAGCCAUGGCGCGCGAGAAGGGUGGCAACUGGGACGGGUCGACAGUGAUCGAGGACCACAUCUCCUUCCUCAGCGACACGCGCCGGAUGCCCAGCGCGACCUUCGUCAAGGUGCGGGUGCCGUCGGAGGAGGAGAUCUCACCGACGCCGUGGGGAGACGAGCGGGUCAUCUUCCGCUCGCACUUCCUCCGCGGCUUCGGCCUUCCGGUGAGCGGCUUCUUCCGCUCUUUCCUCAACUUCUACAAUCUUCAGCCUCAUCACCUCACGCCCAACGCUGUGACUCUACUCUCUACCUUCGUCACGGUGUGCGAGGGCUAUAUUGGCGUCCUCCCCACACUCGAGUUGUGGGGAGCAUUCUUCUAUGGGAAGCUCGGCACCUCAGCCAGGGAGACGGCGGCCGAGUGCGGCGGCUUCGUCGCCGUGCGCCGACCGGCGAAGCAGAACGCCUUCCAUGUCAUCAAGCUGGCGCAGUCGUGAAGAUGUGGCAGCAGUCCUACUUCUACGUCGAGAACGUAGAUCCGGCUGCCGACUUCCUCAACCUGCCGCCUUAUGAGGCCGCCCCCCAUACCGGAACUCAGCCCACCUGGGGGUACAAACCGAAGCCGGUGUCGGCGGACGCGGCGACAGCCAUCGGCCGACUCCGAGUGCUCCAGGAGUCGGAGGGCCUCGUGGCCUCCAACCUCCUUGUUUCCUUUGUUGAGCGCUGGAUCCUCCCGCUCCAGAGCCGCCCUUAUCCGAUCUUCCGGAUGGGCGGGCACCGCGACCCAUGCCGUCUGUGCACAAAAGGGAUGCCGCCUGCCGAGGUUGCGCGGUUGGUGAAUGAGAUCUCCGAUCUCAAGGUGUCGGAGGAAGACUGGCGGUACGGGAAGCGGCCGUACUCUCGCCACAAUCCGCCGCCUGCCGUAAGUUUCUUCAUCUUGUCCUUCUGGUCCGUUUUCUUCUGCCUCAUUUUUUUCGUGAUGCAACUCCUUUCUGGUCGCAGAUUUACAUGUCCGCGGCGACGGCCACCCUCAUGGGACCAGGCAAUGACCUCCAGCCGGACAGGGCGGUGAGCGACCUGGACGACCUCGACUUGGGGGCGGCCGCCCUGGAGGAUGCAACAGGCGGCGGCGGCAGAGCAAACGGCGGCGGCGGAGCAGGCGGCUCCGAGGAAGGCGGCGGCAUGGUGACUUGGCUUGACGACGACGACGACGAUGAUGAACAACGCCCCACCUGGAGCUCUGCCAAUACCGACGCCGGCCCCUCUUCUAGACCGCCCGCCCACGAUAGCAAGCGCAAGCGGAAGCAGGGUGCUGUCCUGUUUGGCAGCGCCCCGAAGAAGCCCAAGAACCCGGCCGCGGUGACCAGGCAGAAAGAAGCCGCGGCCAAGGUGGCCAAGUAUCAGGGGCAGCCGAAGGUGCCCGUCAUGGUGUCGGCGUAAGUAUAUUUUCCUUGUUUCUUGUCUUCUUGUCAAUCUGGCGUGAGAGCCUUCUGACUUGUCUUCUUAUUUCAGGGCCCCGCUAACCCUCGAGAAGUCGAGCGCCAUCUCGGUCCUCAGGUCGGCGGUGACCUCCUCGACCAGCCGGUGAAUAGACCCGGCCACCGACCUCCGGGAGGCGACACAGCAGAACACGCGGGAGGCGUGUGAGGAAGAGGCCGACCGUCUAGCCAAGGAGCAGGCGGACAAGGCCGCGCGUCUGCUGAGAGAGCGCUGGCGCAGGCGGAAGCCCAAGCCGCAGAGAGGGAGCGGCUAGCGGAGGCCACACAUCGCCAAGAGUUGCAGCUCGUGGCGCCCCUAAACACCGCACCGCCUCCGCCUGAGUUCGUGGCAACGGCCGGAGGAGCCGGCGACGAUCACCCGAUCCGGGAGCGGGAGGGCGGCGACAUUGCUAUGCUUUACGUCUUUGUGCCACCGCCACUGCCUCCGCCGCUGCCACCAGCCAGCGGGACGCAGGACGAGCAGUCGGCUGUACCGCCGGUGCCACCGGUCGAAGACACGGUGGUGACGGACCUGAUUCCCACGGUUCGCACACCCACACGCCGCCGUCUUAAGAAGGCGGCCUCAGCACCGCGGCCGCAGGAGGUCGGCGCCACGAGCUCGUCGGUCCCCGACACCGAGGCGACCAGCGCCGCGCCUGUAGGUUGGAUACACGGGGGCGCGAUGGGCGCCCUUAACCAGGCGUCCCUUGACGUCCAGGCCUAGCUCCGGGCAGAAGCCGAGGCCCUCAAGCGCUGCAACGAGGCCUUUUUGGAGUCGCGAACCGCCAUCCGAGUAAGUUAUCUUCGGCUUUCUUCUUUGGAUGAUCUUCUUGCUUCUCUCGUGGGGGCACGCAAGCGCACCCACUGGAUGUAGUCCCCAAGUUCCGGGCCGGCUGCUGAGUAGGCGGGUCGGAACUUUAUCUUGCAAAAGUCAACUGCUGACUUCGUCUGGCGUUCCCCUUGCAGGACUACCACAAUCCCCGCGUGACUGCCUACAACUCCAGGGUCCAGGAGCUAGAGACGCAGACCGCCCAUCUGACCGAGAGCUAGAGUAAGCUCUAUCUUUCUUUCUUCGCGGGGGCGCGCUGGCGCACCCGCGGGUUGUAGUCCCCGAGGUUCGGGCUGACUUCUGAGCAGUCGGGCCGAAUCUCCUCAGUAUUUCCUUUUUCAUUAACUACUUCUUCUUUGCGGGGGUACGAAGGCGCACCCGCGGGCUGUAGUCCUCGAGGUUCAGGCCAACUGCUGAGCAGUCGGGCCGAAUCUCCUCAGUUUUUUUGUCUUGUAUGCUUGACUGAUGCUCUUUUCUUCUUUCUCUCUUUCUAGAGGCCAACGCCGUCUUGCAGCAGCAGCUGCGGGAAGCCAACACCACUCUGCGCGGCAAGGAGGCGGAGUGCGGCUAACUGGCCGAGGAGCGAGACCGCCUGGUCGCUCAUCUUGCCGAACAGGCGGAGGCCGUCAAGGCGGCCAAGCUGAAGGUGAAGACGAAGGAGGCCGACCAUCUCGCCAAGUUUGAGGUCGAGCGCUCCGCCUGGGCUGACAAGUAGGCCCAUAUGACGUCCUGCUUCAACAGCAUUAAGGACUUGGUCGAUGCUAAGCUUUGUUCUCUUGAUUUCUUGUUUCGAACUGUCGGCCCUUGUUCAGGCUGGUCCUUUGCUUAUAACCUUGGUCUUUUUCUCCUUCCAUCCGAACAGACUUCUUCCCAGGCCACUCUGUUGUUGCAAUCCAGAUGAUCGAGGCCCAGCGUGAGGAGCGGAGGGCGGAGGGCGUGCAGAUCGCCGCUGACUCUCCCCGGACUCUUGGCGAAUAGCUCCUCAGCAUUCAGGCCCGCAUUCGGCCUGCUCAUCGCAUGUUGCACCGUCUACAGCGCAUUGGAGCUCAGGCGGUUUCCGCCCUAUGGCCAGGUCUGCCGGCUCCGCGCACCCCAAGUCGGACUGGUGACUGGCUGGAGGUGGCGGUCGGCCGCUUGGAAGCAUGGAAGGGCUCCGCAGCCCGGGCAGGAGCGCGCUGGGCCUUGGAGUUCUCCAACGCGUGGUAUCCUGGGCUGGACUUAGCCCAGUUGGCCACGUUCCGGCUGGAAGCGCAGGGGGAGCUGGCAGCGGUGGAGGCCGAGCUUGUCAACAGGGCGGCGGUGAUCACCGACUUCACUGCCACCAGCAUCUUCGUUCCGGAGGUGGUCGAGGAAGGCGGCGAAGCUCCGCAAGAGUGGCUCGGGCUAAACCCGGAGGACAGCGAAGAUUCAGCUGAAGUCAUCGACUCCAGCGAUGAAGGGGAAGAUGAAGAGGAGGAAGAGGAGGAGGUGGAGGAGGACAAGGAGAGCAAUGUCAACCUGCCGGAGGUCGGGGCGGACGGUCAACCUCAACCUGACCGGGCCUCAAGCAAUGAGCGGCGCACCAAGGUGCCGACUUCUACUGGGGACAGCCAGGCGGGGAUCAACCAGCCACCCGUUCCUCCGACGGAUGCCACCAACUCCAUCCUCCAGCCCUCCGCCGCCCCGACUGCUACUGGCGAUUCUUCUGCCCAGACGAAGCCACCUGCCGCGUCAGGCGGUGCACCCGACCCCAGCAUCCAGCCGGAGCCUUCUGUCGUGCCUACCGGCACCGCCCAGCCGGAGCCUUCUGUUGCGCCAACCAGCACCACCCAUCCGGAGUCUUCUGCUGCUCCUUAAGAUUUUAUCUGUUUUCUGCUUGCUAAUCUGAACACUUUGUUAAAUUCACACAAUUCCACCCGUGGGGUGUAUCUUAAACUUUGUUUGAAUGCCGGCCCGAAGGCCUUUAUCCAUGUAAAUAUUCUAUCACAGCUUAUGCUUUGCUUUGCCGACUUCUACCUUUCCUUGCCUUUUACUCCUUGGUUUUCCUAUGCCGCCAUCCCUUGCCUAUCCUCUUGCCAGCGAAGUAGCUGCUCUGCGGACUGCCGCUAGAUUGAGUACUUAGUCAUUUGGAGGAGGGCUAGUACUUAGCCGUUCGGGGUGUUGGCAAUGAAAGUAGGAGCCGGUCGGCCGGCUGCUCGGCAGCCGGACGAAAUAGGUGAGAUGCCGGACUUCGCUAUAUGUGUUUUAUCCUUAGUCAUUUUUCGUGUGGGCGCCGGUUCGGGACCCCUGCACGCCGUACAGUCGCUCUACAAGCUGCGACUUCUAGCAAAGGAAGUGUCUGGCGCCAGCACGCUACUUGUCCGGGUGCAGGAGGUGGCAUAUAGCAGAAGGCGGCGAGCCUCCGGGCCGACUGGUCGAACCCGAUGCCAGGCGGAAAAACUAUACAUACUCAUGGCAUAAUACUUAUCACAUAGAUAAAGGAGGGUAGUCCCCAAGUUCGUCUCGAGGGACCCGGAGUCUUUGUACACAAUACAAAAAGGUAGCAUGGUACAUACUGCUUUCAACUGUAAAAUCUCCGGAGGAGGUUUGCAUUCCAUGGCCUCUCCGUCUCCUUGCCUGAAUCAUCUCUCUUGUGUGCUCUGGGCUUCUGAGCGUCGAUCAGAUAGUAGGAGUCGUUGCCCAGCACCUUGCUGAUGAUGAAGGGGCCUUCCCAAGGCGCCGAGAGCUUGUGCUGGCCGGCUAUUUGCUGGAUUAGCCGGAGCACAAGGUCUCCCACUUGGAAGGAUCUUGGCUUCACCUUGCAGUUGUAGUAUCGGCGCAGACUCUGCUGGUAGAUGGAGGACCGGCUGAGUGCCAACAGUCGGCCCUCUUCCAGAAGGUCGACGCCGUCUUCUCGCGCCUCCUUGGCGUCCGUCUCGGUGUACAUGGUGACUCGCAGGGAGUCGAACUCUAUGUCCGUCGGGAUGACGACUUCAGCAUCGUAGACGAGGAAGAAAGGCGUGAAGCCGGUCGACUUGUUCGGAGUUGUGCGCAGGCUCUAGAGGACGGCCGACAGCUCGUCGAGCCAGCAGCCGGCCGAACACUCAAGAGGCUCGACCAGUCGGGGCUUGAUGUCGGACAAGAUAAGGCCGUUUUCUCGCUCAACCUGGCCGUUUGACUGUGGGUGGGCAACGGACGCUAAGUCCAGUCGGAUGCCCUGUGUCGUGCAGAAAUGAGCCAAGGCUCCUUUGGCAAAGUUUGUGCCAUUAUCGGUGAUGAUGCUAUGUGGUAUGUCGUACCGAGUGGUGAUGUCGGCGAUGAAGGUCACGACAGUCGGCCCAUUCAGUUUCUUGAUUGGCGUGGCCUCUAUCCACUUGGUGAGCUUGUCCACAGCGACAAGCAGGUGAGUCAUGCCGCCGCAGGCUGUCUUGAAUGGCCCCACCAUAUCCAAACCCCAAACAGCAAAUGGCCAAGCAAUCGGAAGAGUCUUGAGUGCAGAAGCUGGCAAAUGCGGCUUGGAGCGGAAUCUUUGGCACCCUUGGCAUUUCUGGACCAACUCUUUGGCCUCUUCAAGAGCAGUCGGCCAGAAAAAACAUGGUGAAAGGCUUUGGCAACAAGGGCUCUUGAGGCCGCGUGGUAGCCACAUUCACCCUGGUGAAUGUCUCUGAGGAUUGCUUGGCCCUGGUUCGGCUCCACACAGCGCUGGUACACACUAGUGACACUACACCAAACCAGCUCUCUGUUGACUAUGGUGUAUGUUGCUGCUCGUCGUUGCACCUGCCUGGCUGAGAUCUCAUCAGUCGGCAGUUCUUUGUUCACCAGAAAUUUGAGGAUUGGCUGAGCCCAGGAUGGUGCUGCUAUUUCUUCUACUACCACAACUGCAACUUGUAUGAGGGUGGUUGGGCCGGGUGGUGGUGGGUUGGCAAUUGCUUCCGCCUGCUCAGUUGACGGAGUCCCCGGGCCAACUACUGAAGUCCCCGGGCCGGGCUCUGGAGUCUUUGAGCCGGGUGCCACUGCAGCAGUCCCCGGGGCGACUACCGAAGUCCCUGUGCCGGCUUCUGGGACCCUUAAGUCGGAUCCGACUGCUUCGGGAGGGGCCGGCACAAAGAUGGAAUCUGAUUCUGUGGACGGCUUGACGGACGGCUUGAGAAGGCGGCGUAGGGCGACGCCGGCUAGUAUUGCUUGUCGGGUGGAGCCAAUCCGUGCCAAGGCAUCUGCUUGAUCAUUGUCAUUUCUUGGCACAUGGAGAAACUCGCAUCCAUCAAAGUAUCCACUGAGUUGCUGCAUGAGGAAGCGGUAGCUUGCCAUAUUUGCAUCCUUGGCGUCCCAGUCGCCUGACGACUACUGGACCACCAAGUCGGAGUCACCAUAGCACAAGAUCCGGCGAAUGCCGAGUUCCUUGGCAAGCCGGAGUCCGUGUAUGAGUGCCUCAUAUUCUGCUACGUUGCUGGAGGUGGCAAAAUGGACUUGCAACACAUAUUUGAGCUUGUCGCAUUUGGGAGAAGUGAGGACAAUGCCGGCUCCCAGACCGGUGCGCAUCUUCGAUCCAUCAAAAUGCAUCCACCAAUGGGUGGAGUCUGGUGCUGGCGGUAAGUACUGGGUCUCGGCCCAGUCGACGAGGAAGUCGUCCAAUACUUGCGACUUGAUGGCGGUGCGAGGCUGGUAGUAGAUGGUGUAAGGUGCCAGAUCAAUGGCCCACUUGGCCACUCGGCCAGACGCAUCCUGGAUUCCCAGGAUCUCAGCAAGCGGAGCCAUGCAGACGAUGGUUAUUGGGUGCUCUUGAAAGUAGGGCUUCAGCUUCUUGGCGGCAAAAUGCAUGCCAUAGCACAUCUUCUGAUAAUGCGGGUAGUUUUGCUUGGAGGCGGAUAGUACUUCACUUAAGUAAUAUACCGGUCUCUGGACCGGCAAUGCUCUGCCUUCCUCCUUGCGCUCUACCACAAUGACUAUGCUAACGACCCGACUGGUGGCAGCAAUGUAGAGGAGCAUGGGCUCCUUCUCAGUCGGAGCUGCCAGGACAGGCGGGGUUGCCAACAUCUUCUUGAGCUGGGAGAAGGCUUCGUCCGCCUUGUCGUUCCACUCGAAAAAAGUGGUCUUAUUCAUGAGUUGGUACAGAGGGAGAGCCUUCUCGCCCAGCCGACUGAUGAAACGGCUGAUUGAUGCCAGGCAACCGGUGAACUUCUGCACGUCCAGUAGUCGGGUGGGCACCUCCAUCUUCUCAAUGGCCUUGAUCUUCACCGGGUUGCACUUUAUGCCAUGCUCUGAGACCAGAAAGCCAAGAAGCUGGCCGGCUGGUACUCCAAAGACACAUUUCUCCGGGUUGAGAUUGAUCUGAAGUCGGCGUAAAUUCUCAAAAGUCUCCUUGAGGUCUUCUAACAGCGUGCCACGCUUCUCCGUCUUCACCACCACAUCAUCCACAUAGACAUGGGCAUUCCUGCCGAGUUGCUUGAGGAGACACUUCUGCAUGCAACGCUGAAAUGUGGCGCCGACAUUUCUCAAGCCGAACGUCAUGGUCAGGUAGCAGAAGGCUCCGAAUGGCGUGAUGAAGGCGGUCUUCAGCCUGUCGGUCGAGUUCAGCUUUAUCUGGUGAUACCCCGAGUAUGCGUCCAAAAAACUCAACAGCUCGCAUCCGGCUGUGGAGUCUAUCACUUGGUCAAUCCUUGGCAGAGCAAAGGGAUCUGUGGGGCAGGCUUUGUUGAGGCUGGUAUAGUCAAUGCACAUGCGCCACUGCUUGUUUUUCUUCAACACUAGGACUGGGUUGGCAAGCCACUCUGGAAAGAACACUUCCAUGAUGAAUCCGGCUGCUAGAAGCCGGGCUAUUUCUUCUCCAACAACUCUUCUCUUCUCUUCCGAAAGGCGGUGCAAGGGCUGCCUGACUGGCUUGGCGUCAGGUCAGACAUGUAGCUUGUGCUCGGCGAAAUCCGUCGGAACACCCAGCAUGUCUUUGGGAGACCAUGCGAAGAUGUCCCGAUUCUCAGGAGGAAAUCGACGAGCUCGCUUUCCUAUUUUCUAUCAAGGUUUGCACCUACGACAGCAUGCCUCUUUGGGUGCUCCGGGUCCAAGGGUAUCUUCUUUGUUGCCUUGGCCGGCUUGAACGAGCCCUCAACCUCCGACUCCUGGGGGAUGGGUGACAUUUCCGGCUUCUUGCCUGCCAACUCCACCACCCGGUCAAGGAGCCGCUUCUCGGCUGCGAUCACGAGGGACUCGGCUAGUCGGCUGCUAUCUACGGUGCAAGCAGCCGACUUCUUGUAGUCUCCGACUACUGUCAGGAUCCCCUUGGUACUCGGCAUCUUCAUCUUGAGGUAGGCAUAGUGGGGGACUGGCAUGAACUUGGCUAGAGCUGGCCGGCCAAGCAGUGCAUGGUAGGGGCUUUCGAGGUCCACCACCUCAAACCAAACUGGCUCACGGCGGAAAUUAUUCUUGUCUCCAAAGAGGACAUCAAUCUGGGUUUUGCCGAUUGGUGAGCAGGAAAGGCCAGGGACUAUGCCAUUGAAUACAGUCCGACUGGGGAUGAGCUUCUUCUGCUUGAUUCCCAACUUCUCCAUUGUGUCACGAUACAUGAUAUUGAUGCUGCUGUCGCCAUCUAUCAAGAUUCUGGAGAAACGUGCUGCCUACCUCUCCGUUGCAAGGGUAGCUUCUAGGACCAGGGCGUAUGAACCAGGGGAAGGCAUCACUUCCGGGUGGUUGGCCCUGCUCCAACUGAUAGGCUUCUCGAACCAAUGCAUGAAUUCUGGAGUGCUGGAGGCCAGUGCUUGCACCUCUUGUUGUUGUUGCUGUCUGCUGCGUCUGUCAUAGGCCACGCUGGUGAACACAACAUAGGCUCCGUGUUCCUAUGGGUACUCGUCUUGUAUGGCGCCGACUGGUCGGACCGCCAGCUGUUGGGGCUGAGGAGGCGGCGGUCCGACAGGCGGAGGAGGCAGGAGUGCAUCUCCCUUGGCGAUUCUGGUGAGCCAGUGAGACUUCCGAGUGAUGUGGUGGGAUGGCUUCGCGCCACUAUAGAACUUGCAGGGUGCAUCUAAGGUUUGCUCGUAAGAGAAGGCGGGCAACCAAUUGGACUUGCCGCCCUUCUGCCGCUUGGGUGCCGACUGCCCUUCUGGCUGAUGAUCCUCGACCGUUGCCACCUGUCGGUUGGUGGAAGCCGGCUGGCUGGCCUUCCGUUUGUUGUCGCCUGGUUGCUAUCGCCGAUUGGUGUCACCAGCCAAAGUCCGAGGGGCCUGGGGUGCCACCGUGCCGGAUGCAUCAACCAGGAUUUCUGCCUUCAUGGAGGAGUCGGCCAUGGCGUGCUUGCUUGUCGGCGAUGACCAGCAGCUCAUCAAGCGUCUCGGGCUCGUCGCAGAGGAGUCGAUUCUUGAGGAGGGUGCCCUCUCGGCACCCAGCGGUGUACUCGAUUGCAUGCACCUCGUGCACGCCUUCGCAGGAAUUGCGCAGCUCGGUCCAGCGCGUGAGGUAGUCGCGAGUCGACUCUGUGGGCCCUUGGACGCACAAGGAGAGUUGUCGGGGCUUGGGAGCCCACUUGUAGGUGCUGGUGAAGUUGUGGAUGAAGGCCUCGGUGAAAUAGACCUAGCUGUUGAUGCUGCGGGGCUUCAGGCUGUUGAGCCAUGUUCGGGCAGUGCCUUGAAGCAUGAGUGGGACGUACUUCACGGCAACACGCUUGUUGCCGUUUGCUAUGCUAACGGUUGUCGAGUAGUCGACCAGCCAGUCCUCCGGCUUCACGGAUCCAGUGUACUUGGGCGUAUCUCGAGGGAGAGUGAACCCUUUGGGAAAGGGCUCAUCCCGAAUUCGUGGGCCGAAGCAAGGCGGACCCAGCGCAUCUUCUUCUUCUAGUGCCAGGGAUCGGUUGAGGCGGUCGAUCCAAUGGCGGGCGUCAUUCUCUCCGACUCCCUCUCGGCGGCCAAGGCGGUCACCGAGUGUCGGAUGUGUGACAGGCGGCGGAGUGGGAUAUCUUGCUCCGCGAGGCAGAGGAGGCGGAUGAUCGCCUCGGCGCUCCACCGCUCGAGGGCGGCCAUCUUCGUCAUGCUCGAUGGAAAGGCGAGUCCGGCUCCGGCUGGCCGCCGGCUCGUUGCCCCGUUUACGACUGGCGCCGCCAGUCGGCGUCCGGGAUAUCGCGUCGUUCUCUCGGCGAAGGGGCGUCUCUUCAUUCCGCAGGGCGGGCUCUUCGACGCGGCAGCCGGCUUCGUGCAACGCAGCGGCCGCGUCUAGGAGCUGCUGGACUCGCUCCGUCAUGUGGUGACGCUCGUCGCCCUCGCAUUUAUCCAGCUCGUCCGUCACCGCCUGGGCGGCCCGGAUGUUCUCUGCAGGCAUGACGUAGACGGGGCACUCCGCCCCGAACAUGCUGGCGACGGUCCCGCCAUGCUGCCGGACAGGGCCAAUGCGGCUAGGCCCCCCAGGAGCCGGCGUACCGCCGACCGCUGUGUCCAUCUCACGCCGAUAGGCGUCCGAGAGGCGCCGCAUGCUGGCAAGCCGGCCAGCACUCUUGAGAAGCUGGAUGCGGCGUGCCUCCAGCAUCUCGGCAUCUGCGUCUUCUGGGAUGGGUGAUGUCAAGUCCCGCAGCGCCGCUUUGAGUGGGUCUCGAGCUUCUCCGUUCGAGCAUUCGCCACUGUUACUGACGAGCACCUCCAUGACGGUGCUCCCGCUGCUGUGCUCGCGAGGAGGCGGCUCGUCGUAGAUCACCACGUUAGUGGGGAAUGCGUCAAGCGAUGUUGUAUCGGAGUCGACGAUCAUCGGGUCGGUGGAGCCAACAGACUCCAGGUCCACAGCAGGCUCACUGGUGACAUGAAGCUGGUCGAGGAGGCCGACGAGGCGGCUCAUGGGGCAGCUGGUGCCUGCGUCGGAGGCCGGCUCGUCGGAGAGGUGAAUCUUGCCAAUGAGGUCGGCAAGGCAGCUUGCCGCGCAGGCGAUCUUGGCAUCGUGCAGGGCGUCAAGGCUGACGCCGUCGAGCGUGCUGGGCUGGCUUCGCUCGCCAGGAAGGAACAAGGUUCCUGUCCAGAGCAGGUCUCCGGGAGAUGGUGCACCUCGCCCCACGGUGGGCGCCAAAUGUCGGGGGUUGGGUGCAAGAUAUGCCAAAGGAUAGCUUAUCAUGGUGGGAGCGAGUAGAACAUCGCUGGUGCGUGGAAGCGGGAUAAGGCGUAGACACGUACGUCGACGAACUUUACCCAGGUUCGGGGCUCUCAGUGGAGAUAAUACCCCUACUCCUGCGAUGCGGGGUCUCCGCAUGAUCACUAAGGAACUAGUGAUACAAGGUGCUCCUUGAGCUGUGUCUAGAGGUAGGAGAAGGCCAGGCUAGCUCUUCCCUGUCCUAGGUAACUGGCUAGUUCUAUCAGAGUUGGAACCCUUUGCAUGGGUGGCCUGGGGGGCUUAUAUAGGCCUGCCCCCCAGGGGUACAAUGGUAAUCGGGCCGACUACUGGGGCCUGUCUGUCAGCGCCUCCAAAUUCCGGCUUCUCCGCUGACUACUGGGGCCCGCCGCCUGGUGGGCCCUGCCGGCUGGUUGGUGGCUUCUUACUGUAGCCGUGCUGUCUAUGAUGAGAGCUUGGUCUUCUUAUCGUGGCUACAGUCCCGCCGGCUGGCGGGAGGUUACUGUAGCCACACCUGGUCUCAUCAGGUUAAUGGCGUGCUUGCCUCGGGGCAUGGGACGGCUGCCUGUUGGAGGCCGGCCCAUCCCAAGUCCGACUGAUUGGGCGUCUGCUGUCUUCGGUGGUGUCACUGCCCGGUAGGGCCUGCGGCUGGCAGGCCGUACCGACAGGCCGUCGUGGGGAACAGGGUUUCGCCUGCUUGGAGCGACGUCAGGGGAGACAUGGCACAGUGCUCCGCCGUGUGGAGAUCUCCGCCCGUACGGUGCACUGUAGCCAUGCCUGACAGGUAUGUCAAGGGCGACGUACUUCACUGUUGCCAUGCUCUAGCUUGAACUCUCGAUGGGGGCUCGGCUGCACCGGGACCGCGAGGUGGCCGCCUGCCUGAUGCCGCCCUCCCUGGAGGCCGGCCGGCUAGGGUCGGCCACUCGUAGUGCCGUAGGCUUGGGUUGGCCGCCCUCUGGUAGCCGGCCGUUGAGCCAGCCGGCGCCUAGAGGGCGGAGCUUCAGCUUGGGGUCCAGCUAGGCGGGGCUGGCCCAAAGUCUUGAUAAAUUCAGGGACUCGGGUGAGCCUACCCGUGGCCCAUUACUCCAACACCUUUGGUGAAGGGGUUGGGCUUCUUUGCAGAACCUCCAUUGCCAUUUCCAUUCUUGGCUUCAGGACAUUCAGUGGCAUAAUGACCGGUCUUCCCGCACUUGAAACAAGUAAUGUGGCUCAGAUCCCUCUUGGCUGGUGUUGCGAGGUUGGAACGGUUCUGACUAUAGCUUCCUCCCUUCCCAAUGCCAUUAUUGGGGCCACUGUGGUUGUGCGAACUUCAUCCAUUGUGCGUAUGUCCUCCAUGGUUAUAGCCUCCAUGGUUGUGAGUAUGUCCUCUCGAGUACGGGGAAUAGCGGGGCUUCUACUGAGCUCCAGAAGUGUACCUCCCCUGUCCAUACUUCCUCUUGUGAUUGUCAAUCUGAAGUUGCUUGCCUUCUAUCAUGAGGGCCCUGUCUACCAACCCCUGGUAGUUGUUGAAGGUUGCCACCAUCAAUUGCAUGCUUAGCUCAUCAUUGAGUCCCUCAAGAAACAUCUCCUGCUUCGCGGCAUCUGUGGCCACAUCAUCUGGGGCAUAACGAGCUAAUUUGCUGAACUCAUCCACGUACUGUCCCACUGUAAAACCUCCUUGGCGCAAGUUACGAAACUCAUGCUUCUUUAUGCUCAUUGCUCCUGAUGAAACAUGGGCUGUACGGAAAGCCUGCUGAAAAUGAUCCCAUGUAACCGUAUCAAUAAAGUAAGUGGUGGUGAAGUUCUCCCACCAAGAUGCUGCUGGUCCAUCAAGCUGAUGUGCGGCGAAACACACUCACUCCGCAUUUGUGCAUCCUAUAGUAGUCAUCUCCCUUCCAAUCUUGCGGAGCCAUCAUCUGCAAAAAUCGUCUCAGUGCUGCUAGAGAACACCGGCGGAUUCAACCUCAAAAAACGGGCUAGGUUGUCAACACGGGGUGGUUUUGUUGUUGCCUUGGUUCUAGUUCUGAACUAGCAUCUGCAUCAAGGCAUUCUGCUGCUGGAUCAAUUGAGUGAGCUCUGAUGGGAACACGAAUCCAUUUUCACGUUUCGGAGGCAUCUGAUGGGUUAGAAGGGGUGAGAAAACAGAAUAUUAUAAGGUCUAAGAGAGAUUCACUACCCAUAUGCACAUGAGACAAACACAAUCAAUUCAUUUCAUUCAAUUUCAAACAAGGUUCACACAAAGGAUCUAACUACGAUUACAAACUCGAUCGAUGCUAACUACUUGGAAGAAUACUACUAGUAACAUGGUGGUCGUCUAGAAAUUUUGAUCAGAGGAAGACUCCAUAAUAUCUGCUCCAGCUUCGUCAAUGUAGUCGUCAUCACUGUCAUCAUUUGAAUCAUUGUCUGUGUCGGUGUCAUCCAAGAUGAUGUAGUCCUCCGAACAGAUCUCCUUUGUUGGUUCUCGCUUAUGGUUCUCCAUGGGUAGUCCUAGCUUCCUCUUCAAAUCUUCAUGCUUCUCCAGUAGUAUGGCAAUUUCUUCCUCAUAUCCAUCGUGUGUAAACUUGAGUUCCUCUUCUAGCUUGACAUUCUUCUUCAUCAGCUUCUUGAUCUUCUUCAUGUUGAAGCAUAGUUGAUUCUCUUGUCGGUGAAUGUGAUCCCCCAUCUCCUGAAUGUAAGAUGCAAUUGAUCCAUCCUUCCUGGUUCAAAUCAUCUCCCAUUCAUCGUCUCGGUGGCCACAUAUUUGAUAAAUGGUGUUUUCAAGCUCCUUGUGAUACACCUCACAUAUGCGUCCAAAAGUGAUAUGGGCUGCCAUGCUCUUUCCCAAACUCCAACUUGGUCCGUCCAGGUAGAAAUCAGUAGGAUCUGUUGUUGGAGCAAACGUCCUCCCAGGUACCCAGACUUUGAUCUUCUAGCGCUCCUCUUCCGGUAAGGUUGCAGAGAAAGUCCCAGUGAAGCUUGGUAGUCCGAUGUUCAAGUACUUAGUGACUUCCUUCAAGUGUCGUGCGAAAGGGGUGUCUUCAUCCGGCUGGGUGAACUUGUUCCUGGGGUCCGCCAUCAAUAGAGUAGAAAUAGAGGAGAAUUAGAAAUGAGCAGAGAAGAGAAUUCAUGUGGCUUAUUCCAGUAGUCGCGUCUUACAGUCAGCGUGUGCUCUGAUACCAUCUUGUAGCGACCACGACCCCAAUGGACCAAAGUCCCUGUGCUUAAGUGUCAUCCCUGGAUCGGUAAUGCUGACACACAUAAUACUCGAGGAAUUAUAGCAGAGUUCAAUCACACACUUAUUACAUCAAGUCCUUAAAAAUAGUAUGAUUACACAAAACUAAUAUGGCUGAAGGCCAUCUAAACUAAAUAUCCGCGGAAGCUUCGAAGGUAAAUGAGUCCAUCAACUCCAAUGGCGUAGCUGAGUGCAAGACAAUGACCUAUCGCACCUUAUGCGUCGUCUGAGUAGUCUGCAACAUGAGACGUUGCAGCCAUGUAGUCAGCACAUUGAAUAUGUUGGCAGAGUUACACCAUAAAGCAAUGAAUGCAAGAGCUAUAUCUACAUGCAAUAUUUGGCUGGUGGAGGCACUAAGUUUAUGAUUUUGCAGAAAGCUAGUUUUUCCCUACAACAAAGGAAUAAAUUUUAUUUAAACUACUCCCACGUUGUAUCAAUAUUUGUGAAGGUUCCUCCAACUCAAAUCCCAAUUAAACAUGUAUCAUCAUUAAACCCAAUUCAAUUAAUUAAAGAGUAUCAACUAUAAUAUCCAAUUUCCAGAUACUCAAGAUGUCCAUAACCGGGGACAUGGCUAACCAUGAUUAGUUUAUACACUCUGCAGAGGUUGCGCACUUUUCCCCACAAGACUCGACCGCAUCCAUGAUCGGAAGAUCGAGACAUAGUCUUUCUGAAGCAUUAACUCUCUACUCCGGGCAGACCGGUACACCUACUUUCCCCUACAUCAGCUAGUCCACCUCUUCAAGAGUUCAUACAACUUGCUCAACUACGCCAGCACCCAUAAUGGCUUGUGGCUGCACACGAAAGUUUCUAGUCUUGGCAUAUCAUAUGAUCCCUUUGAGCCUGGGCGGCGAACAGAGGAAAAAUCACACAGGUACUCCGGGAUUUCCCAAAUGGACAAACAAUGGAUUCUCCAGGUGCCCCAAACAAUCCACCCAGAUGUGUAUUAAAGUUUCCACCUUAAUGUUAUCCAAGAUUAAUAACUCUCAUAACUUCCAUGUGAAUCACGAUCCAAUCCCCGUCUACAAGCAUGGCUAAGCAAUAAUUGAACAUAACAUAUAUUCCCGGGGUGAUCGAAAGGUAUUAGGUUCCUACCUGAAGUACUACAACCAAACCACAUGUUCCCAAUCCUACUCAUGCAAAUAUUUGAGGGCAAUACUAAUGCAUAGUAAAAAUUGGGUAUUGAAAAGUAUGAUCAAAGUGAAACUUGCCUUGUUGAUGAUUUGCAAACUCUAGAGAUUCGUAGUAACAAGCUUUGCACUCCGGAUAAUCUAGCGUAGACAAACAGUAGCAAACAUAAGCAGUCACUCAAACGAAACAAAUAGAAAUGGAGAAAAGAUACAAGUAAAACUAGAAACAAGCAAACAUAUAAACUAAACAGAAACAAAACCUGACAGCAUUAUUUUCAUGUGGAUUAGAUCUUAACAGUAGGUACAUGUGAUUAUCUAUGAUUUGCAAAAAGAAACAACUCAAACGGAGUUACGAAACUCAAGAAACGAACGAAACAAGAUCAUUUACUAAUCUGUACUAAACUCAAAUUUUUAAAUUGUCAAAAUCAUGUUCAAGUUGGUUUACUGGAAAGAAGAGAUUGUUACGAAGAUUUAGGCGCUAGUUUCAUUAAAUUUGGACAAACGAGCAAAAAAUUACGCUAGUUUUAAUAUUAAGGGCUAAAUUAUGAGAAAACUAUUCGCGGAUAGGUCCCUGACCGAAAAUAAAACUAAAAAGAAAAAUCUACGGAACGAACGUUUGUUAACAGAACUAAGUGAACGAAUUCGUUCAUUAAAACGAACGAACAGGUGAACGUUCAUAAUCUAACGGAUUAACUAAAAAAACCGAUCCAAUAGCUAAUAACCGAAACUAAAAAAGUAAUAAAAAUCGACGAACUAGCGGUUUUUACCGGCUAAACGGAAAAGACCGGCGGCGGCGAGAUCCGGCGAGGCGGCUCGGCUCCGGCGGCAAAACGAGGUGGCGGCGUCACGGGCGACGACACGGGGCGGCGGUGGCGUCAGCAGCAGCGUGCGGCGGCGGUGCGGGACGCGAGCGGCAGCGGCGCGUUUGACGAGGAGAGGAAUCGAGGGGCGGCAGCGGCUUAUAAGGGGGUCCCGAGGGGGAUCUCCGACUUGGGAGAGGGGUCGGCGAGGCGGGGCGGCCCCGGACUCCGGUGAGUCCGGCUUAGGCACAGCUCCGGCGCGGGGAAGGCGGCGGCGCUAGCGGGCCGGCUGGGCCUUCGACCCAGUUCAAUCCGGAACGUUUUUUAUAUAAUUUCGCCGCGAUGGAAAAAUCAUAAUAAAAUAUAAAAAAACUAGACAAUUCCAGAAACAAUUUUCACCGUCCAAACCUAAUAUUUAGGACAAUAUGAACAUUUUUCUGGACUAAAAUGCAAUUUUCAAAAAUGCAAGUUUUCUCUAAUUCAAAUAAAAUACAAAUAAAAAUAAUAAUUUGAUUUUAAAACCUCCUCUCCAAUAUUUGUCUUAGGUUUUGAGGAAGUUAUUUUAUCCCCUCCCAUUUAUUUUUAUUGUGGGAAAUAAUUGGAGAGAAAUUAUUAAAACCAAAUUGAUCCUCUUUUCAAAUUUGAACUAAAUUCAAAUAUGAAAAUUUUCUGAAACCUCCAACUCUCUCCUUGGGUCCAUGAGUUGCUUAGAAUUUAUAGGAUCACAAGCAGAAUGCAAAUAAAAUAUGAUAUGCAUAUGAUGAUCUAUGUAUAACAUCCAAUUUAAAAAUUGGGAUGUUACAGAUAGGUAGUUGAUAUUGUAGCAUCAAUCUGCAUCUUAUAUUCAUUGUCCUCUAUCCCUUCUAGUAUUAUCAUAUUUAUAAUUACUCUCUACAAAAUUUAGAGUAUAGGCAAUGCUUAUGAAGAAGUUUUUCUGCUAAAAUUAUUGAGUUAUCCUUCCCUUGACAUGGAGACGGGCAUUAUAGAGCCAGUGUUAACUGUUAACAUAAGUCAGUCCUUCUAAAUCCUUUAUCCUCAACUGCUGUUUAAGUUGCUCAUACUCCCUAUCGUCAACUACUAUUUAGUUUGUUGUUUCAAUCAAAAUGCAUGUUCGCGACAACUGUAAGUUCCAAGUUUUAGUUGUAAAUCUAAAUUCCUUAUUCAUACCAUGCACAUUACUCAACAUAGAUACAAUGAUUUUCUUUAGCCCUACAUGUAUGCUUUUUUUGUUGAUCUAUAAUCCAUUGCAUCGUGAAGCGGCCCACAUUUGCACCUUGUCAUUUCCUGCUUUAUCUUACUGAUGCGGCUGAUGAUAUGAACAAAAUACCAUGCACAUUAGCCAAAAUAGAUACAAUGGUUGUCCAUUGCCCUUCAUCUAUGCUUGUUUUGUUGAUAUGGUAAUCCAGUAGUGUGGUGAAGCUCCCUACAUUAUGAACAGUGCCAAAUUAUGUUCUUGACAUUUUGAACUGUCUCUUUAUUUUCUAAUUUGAAAUUGGACGGAAUUGACAGCACAGUUACCAUCUUUGCUCAUAUACGUGCAAAACUUGUCAUCUCUCUGCUUGUUUUAGGGUGAUACGCCUGAUGGCAUGCACAAGUCUGCUGAAGCCUGUGAGACAAACCCAACAUAUAUUGCAGCAAAGAAGGCAAAACAUCUUUAAGAUAGUGUGACAACCCCAAAGUCAUGUCUUGAUGUAAUGUUCAAGUUACUCGAGACUAGCAGUAACACAAGCUCAAAGAAUUCGCUGCCUGAAUCAGUUCGACUUCUUCAAUCUCAACUUCAAGUAGAAAGACAUCCUGCAACUCAACUUUGACUUGAAUUCCAAAUAUCUAAGGAAGAUCGCGGCGAACUCCAAUAAGAACCAUAUUGCUAAACAGCUACAGAUAGAAGCUAUGACUGACAUGCUAGGCCGGUCUCACAGCCUUGCUCAGCUGGUUGCACAACAUCUCCCACGCAAGGCUAAACUUUCUUGAACUGUCUUGGAAGUGGUCUUGGUUCAGUAUUAUUUUGUUACGCUGCAAUGGUGCCCAGUUUUUAUAAUCUACUUCAUCGUUGUGCUUUAUGAUCACUGGUGGCGAACUUUGAUGCCCAGUGUAUGUAAUAUACCAUAAAUCCUUUAUUGUAUAGUGUAAUGUUUAUUCUAAGUUAGUAUGUCAUAAUUUCUUCAUUGUAUAGAGUAGGUUUGCUCUUAAUUCCUAGUUACCUUAUAUGACAUCAUUUGCUAUCUGAGAAAAUGGCGAAAAUCUAAUGUAGGCGACCAGGCCGAAUCAGUCGCCUCUAACGGGCCUGCAUUUUAGUAGGCCACAAUUUGGGCUAGCCCGCAACUUUCUUUGUCCUGCGCUGACUGGCCAUUUGGGCCCUUCGUGGACACUAUGCACCAGGCCCAUAACUUACAUGGUCCUUCGUUGGGCCCAACAUUUAGUUGGGCCUUUAGUGGACCCAACACUUAGUUGGGCCCAUAUGGCGCCAGGCCAUAAUAGGCUAAAUAUUCUGCUGGCCUGUUAUGGUCCAGAAGAUACCAUGGGCCUUUAGCAGGCCGGAAUGCAUGUUGGGCCUUAGUUUUCAAUAGUCGUCCACAUGCCUUUAGUAGGCUGAAAUGUACACCAAGCCAUGAUUGGCCUAGUUAUAUGACGGGUCGUUACCAGGCCGAAACAUAUCUCAGGCCUUGGUUGGCUCACUGAUAUCAUGGGCCAUUAAGAGGCCAAAAGCUUAUUAGAGGCAUCAACGGGCCGAAUUAUACAACAAGCUUUUAAUAGACCCAAAGUCACAUUGGGGUGAACUGUUGCCACCUUGAUCACGCGUCGUUAAUGGGCUGGAUGUCGCGUCAGACCAUAUAUGGCCCAUGGGCAGCACAGGCCAUUACCAGGCCGAAAGACACAUCAGGCUGAAAUGGGCCCAUGUCUACAUCGGGCCUCUAACUAGCCAAAUCUCACUGCACCGUAAUUGGGCUGAAAGACUUGGCGAACAAUUAACGGGCUAGAUCUAGUAGUGGGCCAUAAAUGGGCCAUGUUUAAGCAGUCCGUUAGUGGGCUAGCCCACCAGUAUCUGAGUAAAACAUACAGGCCUUUGAUUGGGCCAGCCUUUUUUAACCUAUAUGGGCCUCUGUUGGCCAUGCCAUGUGUCAACGUAUCAUAGGCACGUCUCCUCCAUUAGACUGGAGACAUCUAACCCAUCACGGACCCGACAUGUGUUUCCUCUGGCCAAUGAGAAUUUUACACAUGGAAAAUCGCCAUUGGUCGUUGUUCUUAACGGGUUAUCGGAUCCAAAAUCGGACUCGGUAGCUUAACGGCGACCCAUUAUGGUGGAUGCCACGUGUUGGUUAGCCUUGACGAAAGCACUCGCGUCAUUUAUUGUCAUGGAAGUGAACACUUCCGUGAUGAUAAUUUGAGUAUUGUUAUGGAACACUUCUACAACAGCAUAGGUAUGACUAUCUUGAUCGUGUCAUAAAAUCGUCAUGGAUGUACAUGCAUGACAGAAAACGUGACCUACUAUGACAAACACGUAUCAUCACGGAAGUGUUUUUUUGUAUCAUGCACAUAUAGUGAUGUCAUCUUGCUUAAGGCAUUACUCUGUUUUUGUUAACUUAAUACACUAGAUGCAUGCUGGAUAGCAGUCGAUGUGUGGAGUAAUAGUAGUAGAUGCAAGAAGGAGUCGGUCUACCUGUCUCGGAUGUGAUGCCUACAUACAUGAUCAUUGCCUUGGAUAUUGUCAUAACUAUGCACUUUUCUAUCAAUUUCUUUCAAGAGAGAAGCCUCUAGUGAAAACUAUGGCCGCCGGGUCUAUCUUUUAUCAUAUUAUUUUCAGAUGUAAAAAACAGAAACACAAAAAUACCUUGCUGCAAUUUAUUUAUUUUAUUUUGCACUUUUACUUAUCUUUUAUAUCCAUCACUAUCACAUCUCAUCCUUGCAAAUAACCGUGAAGGGAUUAACAACCCCUUUAUCGCGUUGGGUGCAAGUAUUUGUUUGUUUGUGCAGGUACUACUAUUGGAGACUUGUGUGUUCCUCCUACUUGAUUGAUACCUUGAUUCUUAACUGAGAGAAAUACUUAUCUCUACUUUGUUGCAUCACACUUUCCUCUUCAAGGUAAAAACCAACGCAAGCUCAAGAAGUAGCAGGAAGAAUUUCUAGCACCGUUGCCCGGCAGUAUCUACAUCAAGCCUACCAAGUACCUAUCAUAAACUCUCAUCUCUUGCACUUACAUUAUUUGCCAUUUCCCACUCAUUUUCCCUACCCCACUUCUAAAAUAUUUUUAGAAAAAUACAAAAAUAUUUUUCGUUUGCCUUUUUCUUAUUUGAUCUUUUGUUUGCUUGCCUUGAGACUUUCAUCAUGAGUGAUUUUGGUAUGGCAGAAACAGAUGGUGGUAGAACUCCUAAAAUUGCAAGUUCCAUUAAUCUUGAUGCUAAAACUGUUGUCUUGGGACAAGGGAAUGUUAUAGGAAAAAGUGUCAUCCAAGAAUUCUUUAAUUGCGUAGUAAAUUUGACUUGUGAUGAUUCUCCUAUACUUAAAAGAACUAAAACUUACGCAGAAUCUAUUUCCGCACUUGUUCUUAAACUUGAGAGAAGAUUUAUUCGUACUCAUCCUACCUUGCAAAGACUAUUUUAUGAGUUGCCUAUUAUGAAAGAUCCUAGAGCUAAAAAGAUAGCCACUCUUGUCCUUAUGAAUGAGUUUGAUCACAUAGUGUGGGAAGCUACGGAAAUCUUUGACUUUUAUGGUAUGAACUGUGAAAAACCGGUGAUAGAUGAGAUCCUUUAUAAGAGUGAUUAUUUAUUAAGGUAUUUAAUGCACAACGCUCGCAUCUUUGAUGAGAACCUUAAAAAGGAAGUUCCUCCUUUGAGUAUGAUCCAACAAGUUUUCAGUGAUGUCAAUCAACAAUAUUCUUGGAUUGUAUAUGGCAAUCAAGGGGGAUUUGUGAGCUGGGCAACGUGCUGAUGCUAAAAUCUCUAUGGAUGAGUGUUUUAUGUUAUAUUUGAACAACCUCCAAAUAAAAAAACACACUUAUGGAUUGAAUACUAAAUAUGACAAAACCUAGGUCUAAGCAAUUUGCCUAGCUAGGGGCGUAAAACGAUAGCGCUUGUUGGGAGGCAACCCAAUGAUUUUUUUUGUUUUUAUUGUUUUUCUUCUGUUUUGCAAUAUAUAUACCAUUAUAUUUCUGUUAUGAUGGUUUUCUUCUAUUUAAAUUAGUGUUUCUUCCAAGUAAGACCUUUGGGAUGAUUUGAAAGAUUAUUGUUUUUAUUCUGUGUAAAAACCAAAAAUUUUACGUCCAGUAGAAGAAUUUUUGAAAAUCAUUCGAGCGAGGAACAAUUCUGAUUUUUUACACUAUAUUGAUAUACAAGUCUCCCAUGUUUUCCUAAUUUUUCCUAAUUUUUGUAGUUAUAGAAAUUGGCUAAUGUUCUGAUUACUACAGAUUGUUAUGUUUUUUACAUAUUCUAUUUUGAUUGUGUUGUUCGCUUGUUUUGAUGAAUCUAUGGGUUGUAUCGGGGGGUAUGAGCCAUAGUGAAGUUAGAAUACAGUAUAUAUAAUGCAAAUAUAAUAUUGGAAUGAGUUUAUAAUAGUACCUAAAGUGGUGAUUUGCUUUAUUAUACUAAUAGAUCUCACGAGUUUUCAGUUGAGUUUUGUGUUGUGAAGUUUUCAAGUUUUGAGUAAAGUUUUGAUGGGCUAAGGAAUAAGGAGUGGCAAGAGCCUAAUCGUGGGGAUUCCCAAGGCAACCCAAGGUAAAAUUCAAUUAUAACAAAGCGUCUAAGCUUGGGGAUGCCCCGGAUGGCAUCCCCUCUUUUGUCUACAAUCCACCGGUAAAUUACUUGAGGCUAUAUUUGUAUUCACUACAUGAUAUGUGUUUUGCUUGGAGCGUCGUGUAUUAUAUGAGUCUUUGCUUUAUUUUAUUUUUAGUUUGCCACAAUCAUCCUUGCUGGACACACCUUUGGAGAGGGACACACAUUAAUCGUGAAUUUAUUAGAAUACUCUUUGAACUUCACUUAUAUCUUUUGAGCUAGGCAAUUGCUCUAGUGCUUCACUUAUAUAUUUUAGAGCAUGGUGGUGGUUAUAUUUUAAAUAAAUUGAUGAACUAUCAUGCUUGACUUACAUUAUUUUGAGAGUCUUAUAAAUAGUAUGGUAAUUUUCUUGGGUUAUGAAUUUAGUCCUAAUAUGAUGGGUAUUCAAGAGGGAUAUAAUAAAUCUUUCAUGAAGAUCAUUGAAUAUAUGAGAAGUUUGAUUCCUUGCAUUUGUUUAGAGAUAUAAAGAUGGUGAUAUUAGAGUCAUGCUAGUGAGUAAUUGUUGUUUAGUAAGAAUAUUGGUGUUAAGGUUUGUGAUUCCUGAAGCAUGCAUGUAUGGUCUCUCGUUAUGCUAUGAAAUUGGAGCAUGAUUUAUUAUUGAUUGUCUUCCUUAUGAAUGGCGGUCGGGGACAAGCGACGACAUUUUCCUACCAAUCUAUUCCCCUAGGGGCAUGCGUAGUAGUACUUUUCUUAGAGGACUAAUAAACUCUUGCAAUAAGUAUAUGAGUUCUUUAUGACUAAUGUAAGUCCAUGGAUUACACACACUCUUACCUUUCCGCAUUUUGCUAGCCUCUUCGGUACCGUGCAUUGCCUGUUCUCACCUUGAUUUGUGGUGCAAACUUUGCCGGUGCAUCCAAACCCGUGAUAUGAUACGCUCUAUCACACAUAAGCCUCCUUAUAUCUUCCUCAAAAUAGCCACCAUACCUACCUAUUAUGGCAUUUCCAUAGCCAUUCCGAGAUAUAAUGCCAUGCAACUUCCAUUGUUCCGUUUUAUUAUGACACAUAUCAUCAUUUUCAUAUUACUUUGCAUGAUCAUAUGGUUGACACAGUAUUUGUGGCUUAGCCACCGUUCAUAUUUUUCCUCCGCCGCAAGUUUCUGUCUUUGUGAGAUCCCAUAUGGGGACCUUUUUUGGUACUCUGUCUGAGGGGGAUUCGAUUAUGGAGGGCUUCUACAUCAACCUUGCUUCCCUUUCGAUGAUGUGUGAGUAGUUUACCAUAGACCUACAGGUCAAUAGCUAGUAUCUAGAUGGCUUCUUCUCUCUCUUCGAUCUUCAACACAGUGUUCUCUUCGAUGUUCUUGGAGAUCUAUUCGAUGUAAUCUUCUUUUCUGGUGUGUGUUUGUUGAGAUCUGAUGAAUUAUGGGUUUAUGAACAAAUUAUCUAUGAAUAUUAUUUGAGUCUUCUCCAAACUCUUUUAUGCAUAAUUUAUAUAGCUUUGUAUUUCUCUCCGAUCUAUUGAUUUGGUUUCACCAACUAGAUUGAUUUUUCUUGCUAUGGGAGAGGUGCUUUGUAAUGGGUUCAAUCUUGUAGUGCUCAAUCCCAGUGACAGAAAGGGACAUGACACGUAUUUGUGUUGUUGCCAUUCAAGAUAAAAAGAUGGGGUUUGUCGGGGAAAAGACACCUAUGGGAUCACGAGGAUCCCUUCUAUGGUUGGCGGGGAGAAGAGCUGCACAAAGAGCAGGUCUGGGGAUUAGCGCGAAGGGUUUUUACCCAGGUUCGGGCCACAAUGGUGCGUAAAACCCUAGUCCCGCUUGAGUGUAUAUUUGUGUUGUUGAGUUCUUAGACUAGCUGUGGUGCAUGCCCAGUCCAAAAAGUCUGAAUCCUUCUCCAGUACACCUCGGGCCUCCAUUUAUAUGUCAAAGGGGUCGCCACAGUGGCACACAGGAGGUGGAAAGUAUCUGCAGUGUACAAGUUUAUCCCUGGCAUCGUAGGACAAACGCAUUUAAUGCAAUGCCUACAUGCCUUUCAACUUUAUCGGGGACGGCAACAGAAAUCGUCUCGUUUGUCGCCGCCUCUCCCCGUCUUGACAUGUGUCCAAGCUGACGAGGCAUGUAGUGCCAGGCUGGCUGGCUAGCUGCUGUGCUGGUGCGGUGGUAGGGCUUUCACGAAGAUCUGCAUGCCACCAUGCAGGUGCUUGCCUAGUUGGCCUAGAAUGUGCAUGCUGCCACGCAGGCGUUUACCUAGUUGCCAAGCUGGUCGUCGCGUUGGGAUGGCAGUGAGGUGGCGAAACCUUGUCAGGUGCUGGCUUGGAUGUGGCCCCGCAGUUGUCCCCGGCAAGGGUCUUGUCGGGGGUCUUUGCUCUAUGGUCUCCAUAUAGACUGGCAAGCCACCAGUCUUCACAAAGAUCUGCAUGCUACUACGCAUGUGUCCUCGAGUCUUGGCCUCGACGUUGUCGAUGGUGUCAAAGCUCUCAGCCUCAAGGGUGAUGACCUUGCCGGGGCUACGUAAGCCGCCCCGGCAAGGGUGUUGCCGGGGGAGGCCCAGCUAGUCUUCUGUUCUUUGGUUACUGGCUUCGAAUGUCAUCUUGGUAGUCUUGUAUCUCGCCUUCUUCUGCCCUGCCAAGCCUUGCCGCAGGUGUGGCUACGGCUGCCCGUGCACAAGUAAGGGGUACAAAAGAUCCCAUACUUUUGUACACCGAUAGGAGCCCCCAGGCCUGGGUCACACAUAAGCACAAAGCAUAGUUGGGCCAGGCCCAAAGCAGUGCGCGGGCAUGUAUGGCCGAGAUUUGACCGUUGUAAUCUUUUCAUCGGUUGCGCUUCCCCACAAUCCACAUUGAGUGCGUGACAUGAGGGUCGUGCGUGGAACGGUCACAUCAUGCCUGUGUCACCUCACGCUGAGUAGUAAAGAGGCGGCCCGUGCCUUCCUCAUAAAAAGAGGAAGCCGCAGGGGCGCUGCUCAUUUACAAAGUGGGCUUGGGUCGUGGCUUGCAUGGCGCCAACACCCCACGAUCAUGGGGUGGAAAACGGUCAUUCCACUUGUCUUCUCGCUUCUGGCUCGCCUGCUACAUGCCCCUCAUGCCUUAGAAAGGGUAGGUGAUGGAUACGGAGGGCACGGGCAUUAACAUCGAGGCAGGAAACCGGGCGUUGUUGAUUGGAGCAGCGGGUCAGUCUUGAUUUACCGCGCCUCUGGGGGCCACAUUGGUCGAGCGGGGCAGCCGCCCUUGGGUUGGCAGGCUAGGCCCCGGCCUUGCCCUUCUAUAAAAAUGGAGAGGGAUGGUGCCUUUCCGUACUCACCUCCUUCCUUCCCUUUCUGCUUGGUAUCCUUCUUCCACUCGCCAUGGUGAGAGGGCGUGCUGGUGCUUCAACGGCGGCGAUGAGGGCUUCUGCUCGACAGCACGAUCCCUCCUUCGGAGUUUGCAGCGGCGGAGCCCGCCGUGAGAGGGAGAGGGAGGGGGCAAGGCUGAGGUCACCGCAGUGCUCGGGGGAUAGGAGGACGGGGCGGCGCACCAACUACGCCUCCGCUGGCGGCCCCUCCUCCAAUGGAGGGCCAUGUUGGAGACCAGCCCCGCGAGUUCUUCAUGAGGCUGUACAAGCCCGUGUGUGGUCACCUCUGCCUCCCUACCCCGUUUGCUUGGGUACUGGAGCUUGACCCGCCACAGACCUUGAGGCUGCAUAUGAGGGGCCGCGGGAACGGCAGCAUGUGGGUCGACGUAGACUUCCCCGCUCCUCACAUCAUGUAUCUCCGGCAUGGGUGGAAAACCUUUGCCCGCGCCCACAGCUUGUCGGAGGGGCAUGUUCUCCAGUACAAACUGACGGAGAACGGCCUGCUCUUUGUCAAGGUCUUUGGGCGUUCGGGAAUCCGCUUAGGGUGCUGCGCGGAGAGCUCCACCGACGAUGAAAUCUCCUUCUCGAGCGAUAGUGACGAGAAGGACAGCGACAACGACGACAACAGUAGAGGGCGGGAGGACGCCGCUCCGACUCCGGCUGACCACCGGUGGCAGCACCAUCAUCUGCACCGCCCCCUUCCCCGACAACAUUCCUCGCCGGGGGGGUGUCCUGCUGGCUCUGGUGUCGGUGGUCCCUGGGUCACCUCCCCCAUGCUCUCCAUCGACGCGUCCCCUCCCCGUAUCUUCUUUUCCUUCACCUUCCGUACUUGGGAGGAAAGGGGAAAGAACGGGGAUUACGGGGCACUUAUCUUUUUUACAACUUGUAGGCACUUGCCAAAUCUUAAUUUUCUAGAUAAUGUAAUCUCUCGAGUACAUGCUUAUGCUCUGUAACGUUCAUACUUGUAUCAGCAUGUUAAUGAAAAAGAUGACCCUUGUCGGGAACCCAUGCAUGUACACGUCCAUGCAGAGGCGAAACACCUCUUUAAUGCGAAUGAAUGAGUUUUCCCCGCAAGCUAUCUUGUCGGCGCCCUCUGUGCCUGCCGGAGAGUCACAUCUGAUGGGUUACAAGCAAAGGGUCUAGCCCCCUGCCAAUCCCUUUUUACCAAAGGCUAGUGCGACCAUUAUGACCGAAGUAGCGUUUGGGUCAGAGAUGAGAGCACCUAAGUUUAAAAAGAGUGGCGAGGUUUUCUGAUGCACAAGUCAUAGGUUACGAACAUGAAUGGACAAGAGGUGAACUUUAUAUGUUUGGUUUACCAGGAUCCCUAUGCUGGGCAGUCUUCUCAACUUCUUGCCGGAGCCAAGCCCACGAUAGGAGCGGAGGAACCGAGCGUCUUUACUGCUGCUGAAAAGAAGAGAAGACAGGAGCAUGGAACCUUGGUGGUCCGUCAGUAUCUGCUAGAAUCAAAGGCAGUACAAUAUCCUAGACAAGCAUGCAUAUAUGUAUAUACAUAAACAUGGAAAUCAACAGGAAACUUUACAUACUAAAGGUUAUUUGACUACGCACAGGGUCUGUGCCUGGCUCUGUACAUAGGGUUACAUGCCUUGUUGGCGAGGCUAGUGGGUUGUCGGGGCUCCCAGCAACCGCGCCUUAUGGGUAAAACUUGCGAAGAUGUUUGAUAUUCCAGGAGUUGCUCACCGUAAUGCCAUCUUCGGUCUCCAGGCGGACUGCGCCGGGCCUGGUGACUCGUAUUGCCCGAUAAGGGCGCGUCAACUUGUUUGAAUUCUUGGCGGAUUGAAUACACCAAAGAACAAGGUCUCCUUCCUCAAGGCUUCGGGCAUGAACCUUGUGGCUAUGGUAGCGGCACAAGGCUUGCUGGUAGCGAGCGGCUCGCACAGCAGCCUGAAGAUGAUCUUCCUCAAGGAGCGUAGCAUCAUCUUGGUGCAACUGCACUUGCUCAAGCUCAUCAUAAGCGAGCACUCGAGGUGACCCAUAUAUGAGUUUCGUGGGGAGAACUGCUUCCGCCCCGUAUACCAGGGAGAAAGGCGUCUGGCCAGUGGCUCAAUUUGGUGUUGUUCUGAUUGACCAAAGAAACGUUGGCAACUCAUCAAUCCAGCGUCUUCCGCACUUGUGUAGCCUGUGAAAAGUUCACGUUUUGAGGCCUGGCAACACUCCAACAUUUGCCCUUUCUGCCUAGCUGUUGCUUCUUGGAUAAGCAACAGAAGCAAAACAAACUUUUCUGCCGAGGUCUUGGAUAUACUGCAUGAAGGUGCGGCUCGUGAACUGCAUGCCGUUGUCGGUGAUGACUCUGCUUGGCACACCAAAACAGCAGACUAGUCCCUUGGAGAACUUGACCGAUGACUGUGUUGUCACCUUUCUUACUGGCUCCACCUCUGGCCACUUCGUGAACUUGUCGAUUGCCACGUACAAGUACUGAAAGCCCCCGACAGCACAGGGAAAAGGGCCCAGUAUGUCGAUCCCCUAGACCAAAAAUGGCCAGGAGAGAGGGAUUGUUUGAAGAGCUUGAGCUGGUUGAUGAAGCUUAUUUGAAUGGAACUGGCACGCUUCACACUUGGUUACUAGUGCAGUUGCAUCCUGGUGAGCAGUGGACCGAAAGAAACCCUGCCGGAAUGCAUUGCCGGCAAGGGCUCUUGACCAUAUGUGGGAGCCACAUAUGCCUCCAUGUAUCUCUGCCAACAGCUCUAGGCUGUCCUCCUGAGGAAUGCACUUCAAUUUCAUGUCGUUCGGUCUCCUUCGGUAUAGGACAUCGUCCACAAAUUGGUACAUGCCGGACCGACGGGCUACUUUUUCUUCCUCUUCCUAUUCCUCAGGGAGCUCCCCUGUUUGGAGGAAACGAACAGUAUGCUGUGACCAUGCCGGAGCCUGAGGCUCGACAGCAAGGACUAAAGGCUCAUCUCCUGUCGUGGGGGCAGCUGUCUCCACGGUCAGGGCUUGGGGCCCUGCCUGAGGCUGCUGCUCCCCCGGCAAGCUUGGGGUUCCCGACAACUUCCUUGCCGGUGGUUCCUGGGAGCUUAGUGGGAAAGUACUUGCAGGGGCCCACCUUUCUUCACUUGUUCCGUCCUGUUGAUGGUUCAAUGGAUGGUUGUGUUAAUUGGAGCACAAAGGUACCUGGUCCCACGGGCAACUUGAGGGCAGCGCAUUUUGACAAGUCGUCGGCAAUGCUAUUCUCUGCUCGAGGAACAUGCUCUGCUUGCAGACCGUCAAAGCGCUGCUCCAACUUCCUCACUUCAUCCACAUAGGCCUCCAUCAAUGGGCUAUGAUAAUCUUUGUUAACUUGUUUGACGACAAGCUACGAAUCACCUCUGAUGAUGAGCUUCCUGAUUCCGAGGUCCGUCGGGAUCCUGAGACCGGCAAGCAGUCCCUCAUACUCUACAGUGUUGUUUGUUGAUUUUUCCCGGGGAAAGUGCAUCUGGACUACGUACUUGAGGCGCUCUCUAGUGGGCACAACGAGUAGCACGCCGGCACCAACACCUUGUAGCGAGAAAGCCCCAUCAAAGUACAUAACCCAAUCACGGCUUGUUUCCUUGCCAGGAAGAGUGGUCUCUUGAAUUUCUUCGUCAUGCAUUGAGGUCCACUCCGCUAUGAACUCUUCCAAGGCUCUACUCUUGAUUGUCGAAGCUUUCAAACUUGAGACCAAGGCUUGACAGUUCCAAUGCCCACUCCACAAUCGUCCUGGUUGCAUCUGGGUUGUGCAAGAUCCGUUGCAACGGGAGGUGAGUGAUGACAGUGAUCUCAUGUGCUUGGAAAUAGUGACGCAGCUUUAUCGAGGCCAUGAGAAGGCCGAAAAGUAGCUCCUGCAUACCAGGAUACCUUGAUCUAGACCAUGUAAGAGGGAGCUGACAAAAUAGACCGGGUGCUGCAUCACCUUCUUCUUUUGUUUCACUUCACUUGCUUGCGCAGAUCCUGUCCCGCCGGGACCGGGCUUUGCUGGGGGUCCUAUCUUGCCGGCAUCAAGCCUUGCCGGCGAAAGCCCUGGCUUGUCACCUGAUGGCCUUGCCACCACUGCUGCUUCUUUCUCAACUUCUCUCUGCUCCACUAGCGCAGCACUGACCACGUGAUUCAUCGCCGCUAGAUAUAGCAGCAACGGCUCUUGCGGUUUAGGCGCAACCAGUAUUGGCAUGGAGGAGAGGUACCUCUUCAAAUCUUGCAAUGCUGCCUCCGCUUUCGGAGUCCAUUUCAUUGGACCCACCUUUUUCAAAAUUUUGAAAAAGGGCAGGGCGCGCUCAACAGAUUUGAAGAUGAACCUACUCAGGGCAGCAACACAGCCGGCAAGCCUACAGACAUCCUUGACUCGUUUCGUGUCGGUGGAGAAAGACACCUAUGGGAUCACAAGAAUCCCUACUAUGGUUGCGGGGCGCGGGGUCGUGAGAAGAGCAGGAUCAGCAGUCAGCACAAACACACGGGUCAUUUACCUAGGUUCGGGCCGCAAGGAUGCGUAAUACCCAUCUAUGUUCUUGGAGUUCUUGAGCUAGCUACAAUGGGUGUAACUUGUCCAAGGGUCUGAAUCCUUCUCCUGGAUGCCUCGGGCCUCCUUUUAUAGUCAAGGGGAUCGCCACAGUGGCACACAGGAGGUGGCAUCAGUGUACGGUGGCUAAGCUUAUCGCUUGCCAUUACGGGACAAGACACAUUUAAUGCGCCCCUUAGGUGUCCCCCUCACUUUACCGCCGCCUCACCCUGCUUCGACACGCGCCUGGGCCAGCAAGGCGGACAGUGACAUGUAGGCUGGUAGGCUGCUGAGGUGGCGUGAUGGUAGGGCCUUCACGAAGAUUUGCAUGCCACCACGUAGGCAUGUGCUGAGUUGGCUUGGAAGCCUCACGUCGACACGCAGGCGCCUGCCUAGCGGGUGGGCUGGCAGCUGCAUGGGAGCGGUGGUAGAAACUUGGCGGGUGCGGGCCUGGCUGUGGCCCCACGGAUGUCCUCGGCAAGAGCCUUGCUGGGGCCCUGGGAAGGGUCUUGCUGUGGCGUUGUGGUCGUCCCCAGCAAGGGUCUUGCCGGGGGUCUCAUGGGCUUCCUCGGCGGGGAUCUCGUCGAGGUUCGUCGUCUUCUAAUCCCCUUUUGACUUGAAGUGUUUUCUUGUCUUCGCAAAGAUCUGCAUGCCAUCACGGAGGCGCCUCCCGAGCCUUGGUCCCUAUGUGGUUGGCGGCGUUGGAAAACCUGGGGCACAAGAGUGGUGCGCCCUGCUGGCGUUGGGUAAGCUACCCUGGCAAGGUUCUUGCCGUGGCUGCGAAGGUUGCCCCGGCAAGGGUCUUACCAGGGGAGUUCACCUUGCCCUCUUGCUCCUUGUGUCCCUGUCCUGGCGUUGCUUUGGCCACCUCGCGUCUUUGAUUCCCUACCCCUGCCCCGCUUAAGUGUGGCCGCGGGUGUGGCUCUGACUGCCCGUGCACAGGUAAAGGGGUACAAAGUAGUGCCCUUACUUCUGUACACCGACAGGAGCCCCCGGGCCUGGGCCACACAUGAGCGCAACACAUUGUUGGGCCAGGCCCAAAACGGUGCGCGGGCAGGCAGGGCCAUUUUAUUGAGGUGGUUUCUCCGCCCGCUGCGCUUUCCCAUGUUCCGCGUCGAAUGCGUGAUGUGGGGAUCGUGCGCGGGCGUGAUCGAAGCACGCUUGCGUCAUCUUGUGGUGAACAGUAAAGAGGCGACUUGCGUGUCUCUUCAAGACCGCAGGGCCGCUGCUCAUUUAAUCUCCACGCUGGGGAACCGUCAUUCCACGCGUCCCAUUACGCCCACCCCUUGUGCGGCGUACGCCGCAUGCACGACAUAGGGUGAAUGACACGCGUGUGGAAUACGGGAAGACGUACGCGCGUGGGUCGAUACCCACGCGCCUUCAGUUGGGCGGGGAGGGCGGUCGACGGCCUCGCCCGCUGUCACCUUUAUAAGACAUAUUGGCUGAGAGGGGCGGCCAAGCCCUGACCUCGUCCCUUUAUAAGGAGGGGAGCGGGAGGGACGGCGCCCCCCAGUCUUUCGCCAUCUGCCUCUUCCCAUCCUUGCUUCUUCCUCCUUCUGCCAUGGCGAGAGGGCAUGCUGACGCUUCAACGGUGGUGGCGAGGGUCUCUGCUCGACAAUGCUGCUCCUUCCCAAGAGCCCAUGGUAGCAGAGCUGGCCUCAAGGGUAAGGGGAGGGGCGAGGUCGAGGCCGUCGUGGCGCUCGGGGAAGGGGAGGACGGGGCGGCGCAUCGGCCUCGCCUCCGCCGGUGGUCCUUCCCCCAAUGGAGGGCCACGUCGGGGACCAGCCCCGUGAGUUCUUCAUCAGGCUGCACCGGCCGGUGCAUCGUCGUCUUCGUCUCCCGACCCCAUACGCUCGGGAGAUGGAGCUCGACCCACCGCACGUGCUGAGGCUGCACAUGAGGGGCUGCGGGAACAACGGUACAUGGGCAGAUGUUGAUUUCCCAGCCCCUCACGUCAUGUAUCUUCGCCAUGGAUGGAAGACCUUUGCUCGCAUCCACAGCUUGACAGCGGGGCUCAUUCUCUACUUCAAGUUAAUGGAGAAUUGCCUCCUCUCCGUCAAGGUCUUCGGCGAUUUCGGAACUCGCCGGAAGUGCUGCGUGGAGAGCUCCUCGGAUGACGAAGACUCGUCCUCAAGCGAGAGCAACGAGGAGGACAUCGGCAGCAACGACGAGGGUAGCAGGCAAGAGGAUGACGGUCCAACUAGGUGUCGGACCUGCCGCCCCGGGGCGGCGCCGGCAGCAGCAGCAUCUGCACCGAGCUCCUUCUCCCGAUGGAGCCGGCUCCUUGAACUUAUCAGGAUCGCCUCCUUGGGCGGCUGGCGUGGGAAGGCCGGAGAAGGCAAAGAAGGUGGGUGGCAGGCCGUCAAGUCAGAGUAUGAUGGCACCGACGCCUUUGUAGCAUAUUGACGGACCGUUUCCUCAACUUCCAGCUCUUCCUCCGGCACCACCACCACCAGCCCUUUCCUAGGCGGCCGCCGACAUGUUCUCUUGGCGCCUUCAGCUGCUCGUACCUUGCUUAGGCGCCCCUUCUGCCCUUUUGCCUUCCUGUUCCAUUUCCUGAGGAGAGGGACAAGAAAGGAUUACGGGCACCUUAUCUUUUUUCAGCUUGUAAGCCUACGGGCCUUAGUUAUAUUUAAAACUUGUAACCUCCCUGUUCAUGUUUAUAUUCCGUACGAACAGUACCUGUAUGGAAUGUAUUAAUGAAAAAGGGUGCUUGUCGGGUCUUGUGUGUGUGAGUAGAGCCUAUACCGAGGAAUAAAUCCUUGUUAUUUUCAAUAUAAACACCGUUGCCCUGCAGCAGGCCUUGCCGCUCCCCUACUCCAUUCGACCACACUCACGCCUUUUGGUGGAGGAAGGGGCGAAGUAGGGGUGGGCCCUACGCUUAUUUCCUUGCCGCCGCGGCUACAACCCAGUUCCGAACCAAGAAGGGGUUCUCGGAUGGCAGGAAUGGAGGAAGCACGGUAGCCUUGGAAUAAAACGAGGCUUCAUACGUCCCAAUUUUAUACGGAAAUACAUAACAGGGGAUAAGAGGACUUAUCUAAAUUUACAGCCCCCGGCAACCCUAGCUUGUCGUGGGUGGACCUUUGUAUCUUCAGUCCCCGGCAAGCUUGGCUUGCCGGGGACGGAGCGCCGACUUGUUCUCUACCUUCCACUUAGUUUGGUGGAAACAUUUACGUACCCUGCGAACCAAAUAGGAUGGACAGGAACAAAGAGACGCAAACUCGACCUUUAUGCUAGGGGUUUGUCACCGCUAAGCACUAUCAACCCUAACCGAGGGAGAGACUCAAUCUAGCAUGCAUGCUAUAACUUAGGGCGCCAGCGCUUCGUUUAUUUAAGCUCAGGGUCUGCGAUUGGCUUUGCACAGAGGGUUACAUGCCUUGCCGGCAAAGAUUGUACAAAAGGUGGCCUGCCAGGGGGCCCGGCAGCCGCGCCUUAUGGGUAAAACUUGUGAAGAUGCUCGAUAUUCCAGGAGUUACUCACUGGAAUGGCAUCUUUGGUCUCCAGGCGGACCGCGCCAGGCCUGGUGACUCGUUUUACCCGAUAAGGGCCUUCCCACUUUGGCGUCAACUUGUUGGAAUUCUUGGUCGACUGAACGCGCCGAAGAACAAGGUCGCCUUCCUCAAAGCUUCGGGCAUGAACCUUGCGGCUAUGGUAGCGGCGCAAGGCUUGCUGGUAGCGUGCUGCUCACACAGCCGCCCGAAGAUGAUCUUCCUCGAGGAGUGUUGUGUCAUCUUGUCGCAAUCGCUCUUGCUCAAGCUCAUCAUAAUCGAGCACUCGAGGUGACCUGAGUUCCGUGGGGAGAACUGCUUCUGCCCCGUAUACUAGGGCAAAGGGUGUCUGGCCGGUGGCAAGAUUUGGCAUUGUUCUGAUCGACCAAAGAACCACCGGCAACUCAUCAAUACAGCGCCUCCCGCUCUUGUGCAGCCUGUCAAAAGUCUUCGUCCUUAGGCCACGCAACACUUCAGCAUUUGCCCUCUCCGCUUGGACGUUGCUCCGUGGGUGUGCCACGGAAGCAAAACAGACCUUGCUGUCGAGGUCUUCAAUACAUUGCAUGAAGGUGUGGCUUGUGAACUGUGUGUCGUUGUCGGCGAUGACUCUGUUUGGCACACCAAAGUGGCAAACUAGCACCUUAAAGAAUUUGACGGCUGACUGUGCGUGCUUCCACUUCCGGCCACUUUGUGAACUUGUCGACCGCAACGUACAAGUACUCAAAGCCCCCGACGGUGCGGGGAAAAGGGCCUAGUAUGUCGAGCCCCCAGACCGAGAAUGGCCAGGAGAGAGGAAUUGUCUGCAGGGCUUGAGCUGGCUGAUGAAGCUUCUUCAAAUGGAACUGGCACGCUUCACACUUGGUUACUAAUGCCAUCGCAUGCUGGAGGGCAGUGGGCUAGAAGAAACCUUGCCGGAAAUCCUUGCCGGCAAGGGCCCUUGACCCUAUGUGGGAGCCACAUAUGCCUCCAUGUAUCUCCGCCAACAGCUCCAGUCCUUCCUCCCGGGGGAUGCACUUUAGCUUCACUCCAUUUGGUAUUUUCCUGUACAGAACAUUGUCAACAAACUGGUACAGGGCGGACCAGCGAGCUACUUUCUCUACUUCUUCCUGCUCCUCAGGAAGUUCCCCUGUUUGGAGGAAUUGGACGGUAUGUUGCACCAUGCUGGAGCCCGCGGCUCGACGGCAAGGACCAAAGGCAUUUCCUCCGCCAUGGGAACGGUUGCCUCUACGGUAAGGGCUUGCCGCCCCGCCGGAGUCAGUUGUCCCAUGGCAGGCUCCGCGUCCAUGGUAGCAUCUUCGCCGGCGGCUCCGGGGAGCUCGAUGGGGAAGUACUUGCCGGGGCCUGACUUUCUCCACUUGUUCGGCUCUGUUGAUGGUUCGACGGAUGGUUGAGUCAAUCGAAGCACAAACUACAUGGUUCCACAAGUAGCUUGAGGGCAGCGCGCUUCGACAGGUAGUCGGCAAUGUCAUUCUCCACUCGGGGGACAUGCUCUGCAUGUAUACCAUCAAAGCGCUCCUCCAGUUUCCUCACUUCAUCCAUGUAAGCCUCCAUCAACGGGCUUUGAUAAUCCUUGUUGACCUGCCUGACGACAAGCUGUGAAUCACCCCUGGCGAUGAGUUUCUUGACCCCGAGGUCUGCCACGAUCCUAAGACCGGCAAGCAAUCCCUCGUUCUCAGCAGUGUUGUUUGUCAACAUCUCCCUUUGAAAGUGCAUCUGGAUCACAUACUUGAGGUGCUCUUCGGUGGGUGCGACGAGCAGCACACCAGCACCGGCACCUUGUAGUAAAAAAGCCCCAUCAAAGUACAUAACCCAGUUGCGGCUUGUUUCCUUGCCGUGGAGAGUGGUCUCUUGGAUCUCUUCGUUAGGCGUCGAGGUCCAUUCAGCAAUGAACUCCGCCAGAACUCUGCACUGAAUCGUUGAGGUGCUUUCGAACUUCAAACCAAAACUUGACAGCUCCAAGGCCCAUUCCACAAUCCUCCCCGUUGCAUCUGGGUUAUGCAGUAUCCGUUGCAACGGGAGGCGGGAGACGAUGGUGAUCUCGUGUGCUUGGAAGUAAUGACGCAGCUUCCUCGAGGCCAUAAGGAGGCCGAAGAGCAAUUUUUGCACACCGGAGUACCUCGAUCUAGCCCCCCUACAAGAGAGAGCUGAUGAAGUAAACCAGGUGCUGCACCACCUUCUUCUUCUGCACUACUUCACCUAGUUGCGCGGGCACUGUCACGCUGGUGUCAGACCUUGCCGGGGGCCAAGCUUUGUCAGGGUCAGGCCCUACCAGUGAAAGUUCUGGUUUGCAUCCGUCAACUCUGUCGUUGCUGCUGCCUCUUCGUCGACCUCCCUCUAUGCCACUAGUGAGGCGCUAACCACUUGAUUUGUUGCUGCUAUAUACAGCAGCAGGGCGCAACCAGCACCGUGAUAGAGGAGAGGUAUUUCUUCAAAUCCUGCAAUGCUGCCUCGGCCUCUGGAGUCCACUCCAUUGGGCCCGCCUUCUUCAAGAUCUUGAAAAAAGGAAGGGCAUGCUGGAGGACUUGGAGAUGAAUCUGCUCAUGGCGGCGACGCAGCCUGUGAGCCGACGCACAUCCUUGAUCCACUUAGGUGCCUCAAUCUGCUCGAUGGCCUUAAUCUUGUUUGGGUUUGCCUCAAUCCCACGCUGUGACACAAAGAACCCGAGAAGCUUGCCGAACGGAACACCGAAGACACACUUCUCAGGGAUUAACUUGAGGUUGAUCUUGCACAAAUUUGCAAAUGUCUCUUCCAAAUCUUGCACAAGCAUCGCCUUGUCCUUGGUUUUGACCACUGUGUCAUCCAUACAUGCUUCUAUAUUUCUAUGUAGCUGGGGCUCAAAACCAAUUUGGACUGCUCUUGCAAAGGUCGAGCCAGCACUCUUCAACCCAAAAGGCAUCCGUAAAAAGCAAUACGUACCACAUGGGGUGAUGAAUACACAGCCUCCACUUCUCGUUUUGUUUUGUCAAGAAAAUCUAAUGGUACCCUGAGUAGGCGUCGAGGAAUGAUAGCAGGUCACACCCAGCCGUGGAGUCAACAAUUUGGUCGAUGCGCGGCAACGGGAAAGGAUCUUUUGGACAAGCUUUAUUGAUAUACAUGUGUAAUCAAUACACAGCCUCCACUUCUCGUUUGCCUUGCGCACCACUACCGGAUUGGCCACCCACAUCGGAUGGAGCACCCCUCUUACCCAGCCUGCUACUUCUAGAUUCCUGAUCUCUUAUGUGAUGAACUCCUGCCUCUCCAGAGCCUGCUUCCUGACCUUCUGCUUUACGGGCCGCGCAUGAGGACAAACAGCAAGGUGGUGCUCAAUCACUUCCCUGGGAACGCUGGGGAUGUCGGAUGCUUGCCAUGCAAACACAUCGACAUUCGCCCACAGGAAAGUAACGAGCUCACCUUCCUAUUUGCUAUCGAGAGUGGAGCUUAUGGUAAAAGCUCCUCCCGUGCCGUCCUCCUUGAUAGACACCUUCAUGGUCCCCCGCGUUGCAGCUCUGGACUUCUUGCUCUUGCCGGUGGAGCUGUCUGGCACGUCCUCAACGGGAGCGCAACACCCCGAAGAGGUAUGCUUGCCGGAGUGGGUGCGAGAGGUCUCAUCGGUCUUCUUCCCUCCCGGGGCUUCAUCGGCAGGAGCAAGUGCCUUGGCAGCAGCUGCUGCAACUGCUUCCCGGUAGAGUUGGUCAGCGCAUCAACGCAUCUUUCUUGUCGGAGGGGACAGUGAUGAUGUUCAUCAGCCCGGGCAUCUUCAGCAUGUUGUAGGCAUAAUGGGAAGCCGCCAUGAACUUGGCUAGUGUCGGGCAGCCAAGGAUCCCGUUGUAGGGCAAGGGGAUCUCGGCCACGUCGAAGACAAUCCUCUCCGUCCAGUAUUUCAACUCACCUCCAAACGUCACGGGCAGCGUGACCUUUCCCUUCGGCUGGCUCCUCCCCGGGUUGACCCCUUGAAACGUGCCCGUCUCCUCAAAGUCUCCAUCAGUGAUUUGCAGCCUCUUGAUCACAACAGGCGAGAUCAAGUUCAGACCGGCCCCGCUGUCAACUAGCAUCUUUGUCACUUUGAGGUUGCGGAUCAUUGGUGAAACCAACAAAGGCAAGCACCCGACCGCAGUAGUGCGAUCAGGGUGGUCCUCAGUGUCGAAGAUGAUAGGCGUGCUGGACCACUUCAGUGGCUUCCGUGCAUCGAGUGAUGGCUCUACCGCUGUGAUCUCACGUGCCCACUGCUUGAGCUGGCAGUGAGAUGUGUCCAGCGAGGCGCCACCGUCGACACACAUGGCCUCUGUAGCUUUCUGAAAUUCAUGGUCGCCGGACUCGUCGUCCUCGUCAUGAUCAUCCUCUUGCUGCUUCUUGUCAUGGCCCCGGGCGGGCCUCUCUUGCUGGUUAUCCUUACCGCGGCGGCCUCUUUGGCCGCCAUGCUUCUUGCCGGAUCCUUCGGCACCGUCUUGGCCCUUCUCCUUGUCCCGCCUUUCAUAUUUAGCUUUUUGCUUCUCAGCGAGCAGCUCAACUUGUCAGCGGUUCUGGAGGUCGUGGCCUUUGGUGCGGUGGAUCUUGCAAUACUGCUUGUCGGAGCCCCCUGGCUUCUCGGCAACCGCCAAGGCCCGGCAAACGGCACACCCGGCAACCUCCUUGCCGGGGUCGCUCGCCUUGGCCUUCUUCGUGGCGCCGGCGUCGUCGGACCCCUCAACAGCAAGUACAGUAUUGCCCUUGCACUUCCUGUUACGGCGCCGCCCCUUCUUCAUCGGGGCAGCUGCGUCGUCGUCCAUGGAGUCAGUUUCGCCUGGCGUCCUCGUCGGGGUACUUUCUCCCCUCUUCAGCCCGAGCACACCGAUCGGCCAGGACAUAAAGCUCGGCCACAUCCUUGACCUUGUUCAUCGCCAGCUCCUCACGCAUCUUGCGGUUGCGCGCAUUCUGAUGGAAUGCACUAAUCACGGCUGCAGGAUGAACGUCUGGGAUGUUAUACUGCACUCGGCUGAACCCUUGGAUGUCCUUGCACAGGUUUUCUCCUUCCUUCUGGGGGAUGAUGUGCAAAUCGCUCGCCUAGCCAUGAACUUGAUGGCCUCCAGUAAAGGCGCCAACAAACUCGUGACAUAGAUCUGACCAAGAAGAAAUGGAAUCCACCGGAAAGUGCAUCAACCAUGACAUAACAUUGGGCUUGAGCGCCAACAGGAAGUAAUUGGCAAGCACCUUAUCAUUGCGGGCCCCAGCAGCUUGCAUCGCGAUGGUGUAGAUGCUGAGGAACUCUGACGGGUGAGUCUUGCCAUUGUACUUCUCGCCAACGUCGGGAUUGAACAUGCGAUGGGAGGGUGAUACGUCUCCAACGUAUCUACUUUUCCAAACACUUUUGCCCUUGUUUUGGACUCUAACUUGCAUGAUUUGAAUGAAACUAACCCGGACUAACGUUGUUUUCAGCAGAACUGCCAUGAUGUUGUUUUAUGUGUAGAAAAGAAAAGUUCUCGGAAUGUCCUAAAAAUCCACGGAGGCACUUUUUGGAAUUAAUAAGAAUUACUGGGCGAAAGAAGUAUACCAGGGGGCCCACAUCCUGUCCACGAGACAGGGCCCCCUCCUAUAGGGUGCGCCCCCUAUCUCGUGGCCCCCCUGGACCUCCACCGACCUCAACUCCAACUCCAUAUAAUCACGUUCGGGGAGAAUAAAAUCAGAGAGAAAGUUUCAUUGCGUUUUACGACACAGAGCCGCCGCCAAGCCCUAAUCUCUCAAGAGGGAUGAUCUAGAGUCCGUUCGAGGCUCCGGAGAGGGGGAUUCAUCGCCGUCGUCAUCAUCAACCAUCCUCCAUCACCAAUUUCAUGAUGCUCACCGCCGUGUGUGAGUAAUUCCAUCGUAGGCUUGCUGGACAGUGAUGGGCUGGAUGAGAUUUACCAUGUAAUCAAGUUAGUUUUGUUAGGGUUUGAUCCCUAGUAUCCACUAUGUUCUGAGAUUGAUAUUGCUAUGAGUUUGCUAUGCUUAAUGCUUAUCACUAGGGCCCGAGUGCCAUGAUUUCAGAUCUAAACCUAUUAUGUUUUCAUGAAUAUAUGUGUGUUCUUGAUCCUAUCUUGCAAGUCUAUAGUCACCUAUUAUGUGUUAUGAUUCGACAACCCCGAAGUGACAAUAAUCGGGAUACUUCUCGGUGAUGACCGUAGUUUGAGGAGUUCAUGUAUUCACUAUGUGCUAAUGCUUUGUUCCGGUUCUCUAUUAAAAGGAGGCCUAAAUAUCCCUUAGUUUCCGCUAGGACCCCGCUGCCAUGGGAGGGUAGGACAAAAGAUGUCAUGCAAGUUCUUUUCCAUAAGCACGUAUGACUAUUUACGGAAUUCAUGCCUACAUUACAUUGAUGAACUGGAGCUAGUUCUAUAUCACCCUAUGUUAUAGCUAUUACAUGAGGAAUCUCAUCCGGCAUAAUUAUCCAUCACUGAUCCAGUGCCUAUGAGCUUUUCACAUAUUGUUCUUCUCUUAUUUACUUUUCUGUUGUUAUUGUUACAACUACUACAAAAACCCAAAAACUAUUACCUUUACUUUUGCCACUGUUACCUUUAUUAUCAUACCACUUUUGCUACUAAAUACUUUGCUGCAGAUACUAAGUUAUCCAGGUGUGGUUGAAUUGACAACUCAACUGCUAAUACUCAAGAAUAUUCUUUGGCUCCCCUUGUGUCGAAUCAAUAAAUUUGGGUUGAAUACUUUACCCACGAAAGCUGUUGUGAUCCCCUACACUUGUGGGUUAUCAAGACUAAUUUCUGGCCCCGUUGCCGGGGAGCAUAGCUCUAUUCUCUAAGUCACUUGGGAUUUAUAUCUGUUGAUCACUAUCAAGAACUUGAAAGACGACAUAACUACUAUCUUUCCCUCAACUACGAGGGGAGGUAAGGAACUGCCAUCUAGCUCUGCACUAGAUUCUCCUUCCAUUAUUAGUAAGCUUGCGACACCUAAACCUGCUACUGCUAUGAAUUCUGAUAUGUCGCAUGUUAUUGAUGAUGCCACUUCUGCUAUGCAUGAUGAAACUACUUCUGCGCGUGAUACUACUUUGCCAUUAGGUGAAUUUCUUGAUGAACAACUUGCUAGAGUUAGGGGGAAUGAAAUUAUUGAAGAUGCUAUUAUUGAUGAUAGUGAUGAUGAAGGUUCUCCUAAUGAUUAUGAAUUUCCUGUUGUUCCUCAGGGUUAUGUUAUGAAUGAAGAAGCUGCUAGAGCUAUCUUUGCUUGCAAUGACAGAUAUGAUCUUAAGAAAUUAUUAGCUAAAUGGAAGCAGCAGUCUCUUCAUGCUAGAAUGAAACCUGACCCUGCUUUUGCUACUUCACCUAUCUGUGUUACUGAUAAGGAUUAUAAAUUUUCUGUUGAUCCUGAGAUUAUUACUUUAGUUGAAUCUGAUCCUUUUUAUGGCCUUGAAUCUGAAACUGUUGUGGCACAUCUUACCAAGUUAAAUGAUAUAGCCACCCUGUUUACUCAUGAUGAGAAGUCUCGCUAUUUUUAUAUCCUUAAGAUCUUUUCGUUCUCAUUAAAGGGUGAUGCUAAGACUUGGUAUAAUUCUCUUGCUCCUGGUUGUGUGUGGUCCCCAGGAUAUGAUUUAUUACUUCUCUGCUAAAUAUUUCCCUGCUCAUAAGAAACAAGCUGCCUUGCAGGAAAUAUAUAAUUUUGUGCAAAUCAAAGAAGAGAGUCUCCCACAAGCUUGGGGGGGCUUCUCCGGUUACUUAAUGCUUUGCCUGAUCAUCCUCUUAAGAAAAAUGAAAUACUUGAUAUCUUUUAUAAUGGACUAACCGAUGCUUCCAAGGACUACUUGGAUAGUUGUGCUGGUUGUAUUUUCAGGGAAAGAACAGUCGACGAAGCUGAAAUAUUAUUAAAUAAUAUGUUGACAAAUGAAAAUAAUUGGACUCUCCCUGAGCCAAUUCCUAAAGAAAAUCCUGAACCAAUUGAGCCAACUCCUGAGCCUAUUCCUAAACCCACUCCGAAGAAGAGAGGUGUUUUAUUUCUCAGUCCUGAAGAUAUGCAAGAGGCAAAUAAAUCAAUGAAAUAAAAAGGUAUUAAAGCUGAAGAUGUUAAGAAUUUACCACCUAUUGAAGAAAUACAUGGUCUUAAUAUACCGCCUGUUGAAGAACCAUAUUGUCUUGAUAACCCGACAUAGGUAGUAAAGGUAAAUGCUCUCUAUAGAUAUGAUAAAGUUGAAAUCCCCUCUACUAAAUUUCAAAGCCCAUGCUUAGAUGAAUUUGAUGACUUUAUGGCUAGACAAGAAAGUUUUAAUGCUUAUGUUGGUAGAGAGUUAAGGAAUAAUGCUUUUGAGAUAGGACGCGUAAGCGAUAAUAUGGCUAGAGUUAAAGAUGAAAUCAAACUCCUUAGCAAAUAUACUUCUAUGGUUGCUACUCAAGCUAAGCAAGUACUUAAAGCUCAAAAUGAUUUGCUUGAUGAAUUAAAUAAUAAAAAUGACUUUGCUAUUAGAGUGGCUACUAGAACUGGUAGAAUGACUCAGGAACCUUUGUAUCUUGAAGGCAACCCUAAGAGAAUCGAGCAGGAUUCUCAGACAAAUAAUUUAGAGGCACCUAGUUCUUCUAAAAAGAAGAAAAAGAAAAACGGUAGGACUUUGCAUGCUUCUAGUGAACCUACUGUAGACACACCUGAGAAUCCUAAUGAUAUUUCUAUUUCUGAUGCUAAAACUCAAUCAGGUGAUGAACAUGAACCUAGUGAUAAUGUUAAUGAUAAUGUUCAUGUUGAUGCUCAACCUAGCAAAAACAAUGAUUUAGAGAUUGAACCUGCUAUUGAUCUUGACAACCCACAAUCAAAGAAUCAACGUUAUGAUAAGAGAGAUUUUGUUGCUAGGAAGCACGGUAGAUAAAGAGAACCAUGGGUUCAGAAACCCAUGCCGUUUCCUCCUAAACCAUCCAAGACAAAGGAUGAUGAGGAUUUUGAGUGCUUUGCUGAAAUGAUUAGACCUAUUUUCUUACGUAUGUGCUUAACUGAUAUGCUCAAAGUAAAUCCUUAUGCUAAGUGUAUGAAGGAUAUCAUCACAAAUAAAAGAAAGAUACAGGAAGCUAAAAUUUCCACCAUGCUUGCUAAUUACACUUUUAAGGGUGGAAUACCAAAGAAACUUGGAGAUCCGGGUGUACCAACUAUACCAUGCUCCAUUAAAAGAAAUUAUGUUAGAACUGCUUUAUGUGAUAUUGGAGCCGGUGUUAGUGUUAUGCCUCUCUCUUUAUAUCGUAGACUUUAAUUGAAUAAGUUGUCACCUACUGAAAUAUCCUUGCAAAUGGCUAAUAAAUCAACUGCUAUACCUAUCGGUAUUUGUGAGGAUGUGCCUAUUGUGGUUGCAAAUGUCAUUAUCUUAACGGACUUUGUUAUUCUUGAUAUUCCUGAGGACGAUAGUAUAUCUAUCAUCCUUGGUAGACCUUUUCUUAAUACUGCAGGGGCUGUUAUUGAUUGCAACAAAGGCAAUGUCACUUUUCAUGUUAAUGGUAAUGAGCAUACGGUACAUUUUCCAAGGAAACAAUCUCAAGUUCAUAGCAUCAAUUCUAUUGGAAAAGUUCCAACUAUUAUUAUUGGAGGUUUUGAAUUUCCUCUCCCUACUGUCAAGAAAAAGUAUGAUAUUCUUAUUGUUGGGGAUUUUCAUAUCCCCGUUGAGGUAACUUAGUGUUAUUCAAAAUUUCUCUGGUUCCGUGAUAUUCGGAAUGAGUUUGUUAACAAGACUUGAUCAACCUUGUUAGUGGAUUCAUUUUGAUGAUCAUGAGAUGGAUGAAACUAGAAGGCACAACCUUCUGUACCCACUUUUUAUUUUUUGUUAUUUAGAAUAAAUAAAGCAAAAAUAGUAUUAUAUGUCUGUUUUCUGAUUUAUCCGUGCAUUAAAAAAUAUCCCGAAAAUAAAGUGCUCCAAAUGCCCUGCAAAUUUAAUAUGAUUUUUUAUGGAAUAUUUGAGGAUUUUAGGCACUGAAAACACUACAGGAGGGGCAAGCACCAGGCCACGAGAGUGGAGGGCGCGCCCACCCCUAUAGGGCGCGCCCCCCUGUCUCGUGGGACCCUGGUGGACCCCCCCUCCACUUAUGCCAGCACCCACACACUUCAUCUUCUACCCAAAAAAAUCCCCAUCCAGCUCAAGCACGAGUUCUAGCUCAUUUUGCUACGAUUUUCGAUCUCCUUGCUCAAAGCUCCAUUUACAAAACUGCUUUGGGAGAUUGUUGCUUGGUAUGUGACUCCUCCAUUGGUCCAAUUAGUUUUUGUUCUAGUGCUUUAUUCAUUGCAAAUUUUUGCUGCAUAGGUGACCAUGUUCUUGAGCUUGCAUGUUAAAUUUAUGAGGUCCCAAGCAAUUCCAAUGCAUGAUAUAGGCUCUAGGCACUUGUAGGAGUAGUUGCUACCAAUCUUGUUUAGUUUUAUUCACUUUUACUUUGAAGUUACUAAAAUUUCAAAAAAAAUUAGAAAAUGUUAAGGAAACUUUUGAGGGGCUCUUCUAGCCAAAGCUCUCAGGAAAAGCAAGCCAAAGAGAAGGAAAAAGCCAAGUUUAAUCUUCCUCGCUUAGCAGAAGUGCGGUCGUGUGAAUGGCCAUGCAAUGAUUUCUUGAAAGAAGUUGGAAUUCAUGAAGAUUUUUAUUCUUUAAUCGAGACUGCAGGCCUCACCAGUUUCAUCAACGACCGGAUCAAUCAGUAUCUCUUACUCACCAAUACUUUCAUGCAAAACUUCUAUUAUUAUCCUAAGAAGUCCCCGCAUGUAGUAUCAUUUCAUUUAUAUGGUGAAUUCAGAGAAAUGUCUUUACGUAAUUUUUGCGCGGUGUGUAGGAUACCUUAUGAGGGAGAAUUAGAGGAACCCCAUCGUAAAGAUGUGGAUGGCUUUGUUAAUACUAUAGCUGUAGAGGAGCCAAAGAAGGGCUCUAAGGCAAAAGUCUCUAGCAUACACUUUCCUGUUUUACGCUACUUUGCCAUAUUUGCUAGUAGAUGCUUGAUUGGUCAUGGAAAUAGUGGAAACCUUAGUGUUCCUGAUAUUAUCAUCCUUCAACAUGCCUUGCUUGGAGACAAUACUUUUAGUAUGGGUGCCGUCGUUGCUAAAAGGCUAGCCCUGAAUCGUACAAAAGACCCCAUAUUUGGAGGUAUCUAUGUUGCACGUCUUGCUAGACAUUUUCAGAUACCCAUUAGGCACCAUGAGAAAGAGGAGAAAAAAUUGCCUCCUCACAUUUUAGAUUACAAGAGCAUGGUAGCACACAAGCUUAAUGUUGACAACGAAGAGAAGAUGCUCUUGUAUAAACUUAGAUUUAAUAAGAAACACAUUGAGAUUAUUAUUUUGUCUACGUCUCUGUUGUUUGAUUUGCUUGCAGAAAAUUUUCUGGUCACACCGGAAGCGGUGAACAAUCAUCGAGCCCAAGCUUUUACUCCAGAACAUGAACCUGAGCCGGAACCUGAACUGGACCCUUAUCGUGCAUCAUCUGUCCAGUGGGAUCCGGAGAUGACCAGCCAGUGGUAUCCUGAAUACACCUCCCAGUACACCGGGGAGAGUAGCAGCGGUCCUUGGUACUAGGCGAACCUAGGCCAAAAGCCUAAGCUUGCGGGAGUACGUAUUUCUCACCGACUUUACAUUCAUGUUCACACACUAGUCGUCGGUGCUCAGACUCUUUCAUUGUAUUAUCCAUGCUAGUUUAAAUUUCUUUUUCUAGUUUUCUUCUUGUGUGUUUGAUAAACCUUAAGAAAACCAAAAAAAAUUAGUUAGUUUAAUUUCCAUGCUUGUAGUAGAAUUAAAAUGAAAACCCAAAAAGUUUUCUUGUUCUUUUUCUUACUUGUUGGGAGCUUUCCCGUGUAAAUAGUUUUAUUUUCUUUUCUUUUCUUUGAGGGUCGAGAAGACCAUAUUGAAAAUGCUUAGUGGCUCUCAUAUGCAUGAUUGUUUAUUUAAUUUAGAGCCCAUAUUACCCUGUCUUCUCUCUUGAGUUGAAUGCUUGCAGAUUCCAGCUUAGUCCAAUGCACGUGCACUAUUAUUAUUAUACACAUCGUUCGGUCAUGCGAGUGAAAGGCAAUAAUGACGAUAUAUGAUGGACUUAUUGAGAUGAGAAAAGCUGG
rnacentral:lncRNA from 1 species